UCAUUUGCUUUGUUGAUUUUUUAAGCUCCAUGGUUUUAUUGGUUGAUACUUUUGCAAAUUCUUCUUUUACUAGCUUUCUUCUCAGCAGGAACCCUUGAAAGUUUUUUAUCCAUCCAUCUACUUUGUGUGGUAAAUAUGCUUUUUGCUCAUAUUUCCUCCUUUUUAAAAUAGGUAUUACCAUCUUUAAGAGAGAAGCAUGAUGAGUUCAUGCUGAGGGAGCUUGUUAAAAGAUGGGCAAACCAUAAAGUGAUGGUCAGGUGGCUAUCACGCUUCUUCCAUUACCUAGAUCGCUAUUUCAUUGCCCGCAGAUCACUUCCUGCACUUAAUGAAGUUGGCCUGACCUGCUUCCGUGAUCUGGUUUGUUAUUAGUUCUUCUAAUGACACAUUUAUCCAAUACUAAUUAUGGCAUAAUGAGUUGGAUUUUGAGAAUUGUGCUGCCCAUUAUUUCAAAUAUGCUCUUAACUAAUUGUAUACUAUCUAUUUUACUAAUCUCAGGUAUAUCGAGAAGUGCAUGACAAAGUCAGAGAUGCUGUAAUUGUCCUUGUAAGUUUCCAUCAUUAUGUCAUGGUUAAUUGUAUUUUUAGGUUGCAUUUUGAAUAAAAACUAAAGAGUAACAGUUACUUCAUAUCAGAUUGAUAAAGAACGUGAGGGAGAGCAGAUAGACCGAGCAUUAUUGAAGAAUGUGUUAGAUAUUUUUGUUGAAAUUGGCAUGGGCCAAAUGGUUCGUUAUGAAGAUGAUUUUGAAGCAGAUAUGCUUGAGGAUACUGGUGCCUACUACUCACGGAAGGCAUCAAGCUGGAUUGAGGAUGAUUCUUGUCCAGAUUACAUGUUGAAGGCAAGUACUUUGCUGUUCCUGCAUUUAUAUUUUUAUAGGUUAUAAGUUUUUCACCUUGGUUAACCCAGAUGGUUCUAAUUGUUUUUAUUUUAAUGAUAAUUGCAGUCUGAAGAAUGCUUGAAGAAGGAAAGGGACAGAGUGUCUCAUUACCUGCAUUCAAGCAGUGAGACAAAAUUGUUAGAGGUCAGUUGAAUGGUUGGAAAGUUAUAGUUUAAUGAAGAGCUUUUUCUGUGAGCUUUAGCUUGGCUUGAGGGUGCACUUUUUUUUCUUCGGAGAGAAAAUCUGUUUAAUUUUCUUCUAUAAGAGGUGACUUAAAUGAAUAGUGUUUGAUGUGUGAAACAUUGUCACUAAGAUAUUACAAUAGAAGUUGUGUGAAUUCUUUUCAAGUGGAAAGAUCUGGUUGCUUUUAUCUAUUUUCUUCUAGCUACCUAGAAAUGGAGAUUGCAUGUUUUUGACUUAUCCAAUGACAUGGAAUAAUAUAGGCAUGUGAUAAGAAUAAACAGAGACAUCCUAUUAAGACGGCUUUAUAAUUCCUAGAGCACUCUACUUAUAGCUGUUUGUUCUUUAUCUAGAAAGUGCAACAUGAGUUGUUGGUCAUGUACGCAAAUCGGCUACUUGAAAAGGAGCAUUCAGGAUGUAGGGCCUUGCUUAGAGAUGACAAGGUAUCAUCCAACCUUGUUUCUUUGCUAGCAAUGCUUACUCUUCUGGCUGUUUGCUUUGGAAAAUAUAUAAUCAGAUAGUUAUUUGGCUUUGUUUACACUCUGUAGCUGGAGGAUCUCUCUAGGAUGUACAGGCUUUAUUGUAAAAUACCUCGAGGCUUGGAUCCUGUUGCUAAUAUAUUCAAGCAGGUCUGAAUAUCCUGUUUAUUCUGCAAGCUAAAUGCCCAUCUUUCUCAUGUUACUUUAUGAUUUUACUGACUCUUUGUGAGUAAUUACUUUUUGCAGCAUAUUACAGCUGAGGGUACAGCCUUGGUUGAACAGGCGGAAGAUGCUGCAAGUAACCAGGUUAAUUGCUGGAUACAUUUAUUGAUUUCCUUCUGUACUAGAAGAUAAAUCAUGAAGAUUUUUUCUGGAUUGUAAUUGUGUGCUUGUGAGGGGAUGAAAUCCUUUUCUUUUAGACUAAUAAAAUGGGUACAAGAGUAGUAUUUAAACAUAUCAGUGUGGCAUGUUGAUUUUUAUCUUCAUUUGUUAUUGUGGUUGUGCAGUUCUUGUAACUGUUAAGUUUGAUUUGCCUUUGACAUGCCAAUAUUCCCAUUUUAUUUCUCUUUAGGAAAAAGAGAGUUAAUUCCAACUAAUACAGACUAAAAUUUUCCCACAAUUGAUGGAAAAAUAGAUGAUCAUAUUCAUUUUUGUUUUGAAUAAUCACCUGUCUGGUUCUAAGUGCUGAUAUUCACUCAUUUCCACAGGCCUCAAAUGCUCCUGGUGUGCAGGAACAGGUAAAUAUCCCAACUUUUACAGCUAUGGAUUCUUUUGAAAUCUGUAAAAAUGUUGAAAAUUGUUACUUCUGUCAUUGUUAGGACCUUAUCAGCAAAAUUAUCAAGCUGCACAAUAAGUACAUCGUGUAUGUGACUCGCUGCUUUCAAAACCAUACUCUGUUCCACAAGGUUUGUGUUGGAACACCUAAAUUUGUAAUAUGGAUCUGGUUCAGUCGUGUUAUCUAAAAUUUGUAAUAAGAAUAAACAGAGACUUCCUAUUAAGACUGCUUUAUAAUUCCUAGAGCACUCUACUUAUAGCUGUUUGUUCUUUAUCUAGAAAGUGCCACAUGAGUUGUUGGUCAUGUACGCAAAUCGGCUACUUGAAAAGGAGCAUUCAGGAUGUAGGGCCUUGCUUAGAGAUGACAAGGUAUCAUCCAACCUUGUUUCUUUGCUAGCAAUGCUUACUCUUCUGGCUGUUUGCUUUGGAAAAUAUAUAAAUCAGAUAGUUAUUUGGCUUUGUUUACACUCUGUAGCUGGAGGAUCUCUCUAGUAAGUACUGGCUUUAUUGUAAAAUACCUCAAGGCUUGGAUCCUGUUGCUAAUAUAUUCAAGCAGGUCUGAAUAUCCUGUUUAUUCUGCAAGCUAAAUGCCCAUCUUUCUCAUGUUACUUUAUGAUUUUACUGACUCUUUGUGAGUAAUUACUUUUUGCAGCAUAUUACAGCUGAGGGUACAGCCUUGGUUGAACAGGCGGAAGAUGCUGCAAGUAACCAGGUUAAUUGCUGGAUACAUUUAUUGAUUUCCUUCUGUACUAGAAGAUAAAUCAUAAAGAUUUUUUCUGGAUUGUAAUUGUGUGCUUGUGAGGGGAUGAAAUCCUUUUCUUUUAGACUAAUAAAAUGGGUACAAGAGUAGUAUUUAAACAUAUCAGUGUGGCAUGUUGAUUUUUAUCUUCAUUUGUUAUUGUGGUUGUGCAGUUCUUGUAACUGUUAAGUUUGAUUUGCCUUUGACAUGCAUUUUAUUUCUCUUUAGGAAAAAGAGAGUUAAUUCCAACUACUACAGACUAAAAUUUUCCCACAAUUGAUGGAAAAAUAGAUGAUCAUAUUCAUUUUUGUUUUGAAUAAUCACCUGUCUGGUUCUAAGUGCUGAUAUUCACUCAUUUCCACAGGCCUCAAAUGCUCCUGGUGUGCAGGAACAGGUAAAUAUCCCAACUUUUACAGCUAUGGAUGCUUUUGAAAUCUGUAAAAAUGUUGAAAAUUGUUACUUCUGUCAUUGUUAGGUCCUUAUCAGGAAAAUUAUCGAGCUGCACGAUAAGUACAUGGAGUAUGUGACUCGCUGCUUUCAAAACCAUACUCUGUUCCACAAGGUUUGUGUUGGAACACCUAAAUUUGUAAUAUGGAUCUGGUUCAGUCAUGUUAUCUAAAACAUGCUUCGUUGAAAUGUUCAAUAGGCAUUGAAAGAGGCUUUUGAGGUAUUUUGCAACAAAACUGUUUCUGGCAGCUCAAGUGCUGAGCUUUUGGCAACUUUCUGUGAUAAUAUCCUGAAGAAGGGUGGAAGUGAGAAAUUAAGUGAUGAAGCCAUUGAAGAAACACUUGAGAAGGUAGCUUUAUCCACCAUUUUUAUACUGAAUUUAUGGUGAUCUGAAAUUGAUUCUGAACUAUCUGUUUGGUUUCUGCAGGUAGUUAAGCUGUUUGCCUAUAUUAGUGACAAAGACCUCUUUGCCGAAUUCUACAGGUGAGGUUUUUUUUUUUGUCAAUUAGUUUCACAUCUGCUUGUUUUUAAAAAAAGAAAAAAAAAAAAAACCCUUUAAAGGCAUGAGUUUGCAUGGUACAUUUUGAUCCUAACUUUAUGGUGUGCAAUCAUUGACAGGAAGAAACUCGCUCGGCGACUGCUUUUUGACCGCAGUGCUAAUGAUGAUCAUGAAAGGAGUAUUCUGACUAAGCUAAAGGAGCAAUGCGGUGGACAGUUCACCUCGAAGAUGGAGGGCAUGGUGAGUUGGCCUGACUUUUGCUUAGUUUAUUUUUCUGCAUUAAUUACGGUUUAAAUUGUGAUGAAACUUGUCUUCUACCUUCAUGACAGGUGACAGAUCUGACAUUGGCAAGGGAAAACCAGGCCAGCUUUGAGGACUAUCUUAGAAAUAACCCAGCUGCACAUCCUGGGAUCGAUUUAACAGUUACUGUUCUUACCACAGGAUUCUGGCCAAGUUAUAAAUCAUUUGAUCUCAAUCUCCCUGCUGAGAUGGUAAUGACUUCUAACAUGUUAUUGUAUGAUGACAGAAUUAGAGCUCUUACUCCAGCAUGUCUUCAGAAAUUUUAUUUGUUUCAGGUCAAGUGUGUGGAAGUUUUCAAAGGAUUUUAUGAAACAGAAACAAAACAUAGAAAGCUUACAUGGAUAUACUCUCUGGGAACUUGCCACAUUAAUGGCAAGUUUGAGGAGAAAACUAUUGAGUUGAUUGUUUCAACUUAUCAGGUAAACCGACUCUGUAAACUGUGUGCGCUUUUUAAAUUGAAAAAUUGUGGUUUGGGUUGGAUUUAUGUCUUUGUCUUGCUGGGUUGCGGUGUUGAACUUUGAUUGUGGAAUCUAAUUUCCAGUUGCCUAUGUAAACAGGCUGCUGUCCUCCUUCUGUUUAAUGCUUCUGAUCGGCUGAGCUAUUCAGAGAUCAUGGCUCAGUUGAACUUGACCCAUGAUGACUUGGUCAGGUUACUACAUUCGCUGGCAUGUGCCAAGUAUAAGAUUCUAAGUAAAGAGCCAAACACAAAAACCAUCUCCCAGAGUGAUUACUUUGAGUUCAACUCUAAGUUUACUGACAAGUUGAGGAGGAUUAAGGUCUGGGAUAGUUUUGCAACUCUCUUUUAUGUUAUUAUUGCUUUUGGUAUUUAUUUGAAUGAGAGGUUCUACCUUUGGAAAUAACCUUGUAAACUAUCCUAUGUAGAUUCCUCUCCCUCCAGUGGAUGAAAGGAAGAAAGUUGUUGAAGAUGUUGAUAAAGAUCGGCGUUAUGCUAUUGACGCUGCAAUUGUGCGCAUAAUGAAGAGUAGGAAAGUUUUGGGCCACCAACAAUUAGUUUCAGAGUGUGUUGAGCAGUUGAGUCGCAUGUUCAAGGUAUUAAUAUACGCUAACCCUUUAUCUGACAGUUUGUGAGAGAAACAUUAGAUGUAUAGAUGGGGAUAUCAGGUUGCCUUAACUGACAGAAAACCACACACAGGCACAUGCAAGCCAAACAUACACUGUAUGAAAAUAAUCUUUUAAAGAAUGAAAAGCUAGAGGACAAAAAGAUCUAUGAGAUUUGGGUAGAAAGGUGGAAAAACGACUGGUUCUCUUAUCCAAAGGAAGUUUACUUUUGAGAAUGAUGCAUGUAAAUAAAAGAUGAGAGGUGAUAGAUUUUUAUUUUAAAUGAAAAGUGAUGAAAUGGAAGGAGUGGGGUUAUCAAAUUGGAUAAAAACAUCGACUUUUUUAUAGGUGAUUAACGUGUUGUGUUUCUGUGAUCAAACACAUGCACGGAAACUGGAAAGUAAGUAAUAGGUGAUAGGUUGUUUAAUUACAUAACUUCUUAGUAGUUGGUACUAAUUACAUAGGAUGUGGUUGGGAUUUGCAGCCUGAUAUUAAAGCCAUCAAGAAGCGGAUGGAGGAUCUCAUCACACGAGACUAUCUGGAGAGAGACAAAGAUAAUCCAAACUUGUUUAGGUACUUGGCCUAAGUAGGUCCUUCCCAAUGGAACGUGGGAAGUGGUACAGUCAGAUGGAUUUACAAUGCUCCCCCACUGAAAUCCACAUAUUUUUUUCUGGGUACCUUGUGUAAAGUUCAACGAAGUUUUAAUUGUCUAUUGAAAUUUAAUUAGUGUUUCACUUUAAAUUUCAUCAGUAUGAAUAUUACAUGAGUAGUUAACUUUUAAAUUACGUUUAUUUAGUGUCUCACAUCUAUACAUAUUUUGAAAAAAAUUCUCAAUGAAAUUAUCAAAUUAUUGUCUUAUUAUUUGAUAAAAAAUUGACACAUGAUCAAUUAUUAUUAUGUUUUUAUAUCAUAAUUAUGAAAAUAUUUUUAUGUUAUAAUUAUUUUCUAUAAUAUCCUUAUUUCAUAUUUACGGAAAUAUUUGAUUUUUAAAUUAAUUGUUAUAGUUUUAUAUCAUAAUUAUAAAAAUACUCAUAGGCAAUAGUUAUUUAUUAUAAUAUCUUCAUUUUAUAAUUACAGAAAUAUUUCUUUUCUUAUUAUUGAAUUGUAAAAAUAAUUUUCUAUUAUUGAUAAAAAUUAUUAUAAUAUUUUUAUAUCAUAAUUAUAAAAAUAUUUUUUCUCAUAAUUGAUUAAAAUUAUUAUAAUAAUGUUUUUAUCAUAAUUUUGAAAAUAUUUUUAUGAAUAUUUAAUAAGAAUUAGACAUGUGAUAUUUUAUUGUAACAUAAAUUAAAAUAAUUCUUUUGAUAAUCAUAUAUAUAUAUAUAUAUAUUACAAUAUACAUAAUUUUUAGAUAAAAUUUAUUGACAUGGAUAUUUGUAUGAUUUUUUUUUUUUGACGCGUAAAAAAGUUUCUUAAAUUUCUUUCUUUAAGUAUACAUAAGAUAUUUAUUAAUUUUAAAUUAUUAAUUAAAAAUAUAUUUUAAAAAUUAUUAAAUUAUCUAAAAAUUUUAAAUUUUAAAUAAAAAUCAGUUUAAAUUCAAAUAAAAUUUUCUUAUCUCAUGUAUUAUCUCAUCUCUCGUAACAUUCAACAAACCAAUCAGAUGAACUUUCCAUUUAAAAAUAAGUUUUUUCAUUUUAAAUGGUCUUCCACUUUAUGUCAUGCUCCUGAGUAAUUUUAAAAUGUUUUCAAUUUCUCAAGCUAAAUUAUCUUGUUUUUAAUUUGUCUCUCACAACUGCUUACUCCUCUCACGCUCCUUAGAUGCACCUAAAGGACACUACCAUCUACUUUUUUUUUUUAGUCUUGGAAGUGACAUUCUGAGGUUUGUUUGCAGGGAAGAAAAAAUGACUGAGACAAAAAGUUUAGCAGUGGUGCGCAGUAGGCAAAUGGGUUCUGGCAUAGCUCAGCUUGGUGCCAUGCAUGGUCUCCAUGUUUGGCUCCUUGAAACUGACCCUGUUGCACUUUCUAGAGCCUCCAAAGCUAUCUCUUUUUCCCUUCAACGUUUUGUUUUCAAAGGUCAUCUGCCCCAAGUAAAAUUGGUUUUUUUUUUUUUUCAUCUAAUUUGUUGAUUGUUUUAAGUUUGGUUUUGAUGUGAUUUGAAGUCUUGAACCAGGAGAUUUUUUUCAGUUUAACACUCGAUCUUCUGACAGUUUGCAGUUAUACCAUAUUUGUACAUAUUGAUGAAUUGAAUAAAUAGUUUUGGUAAAGGGAUUCUUUUUGAUGAAAAGAUGUUUUUUUUUAUAUAAUCAGCCACUCCACAUGAUGCGUUAAUUAGAUAUUAUCAUAUUUACACCAAGCUGUUGUCAAAUAGUUAGUAAAUUUUUUUUAAUUCAUUCAAGUAAUAGCAAAUGAAAAAUUAAUUAAAUAAUGCUUAAUUCAAUAUUUUAUAUAAUUAUUUUUAAAAAAUAAUAUUUAGUAGAUUUGUGAUUCAAAUUCUAAUAUUUGUAAUUUUUUUUCUAUUAUCAGAUGAUAGCUCUUAUUAUAAAAUAAAUAAAAAAUUAAUUUAAAUUCGGUUCAUUGUAUCUUAUCUUGAGAUAUUAUAUGCCCAAUUAAGAAAAUAUUUUAGUGACUAAUUAUAUUCUUUAAUUCUAUCUUUCUAUACACGUUAGAAUAAGGAAGUUCUUCCAAUGACCUUUAUCUAAGAAUAGCAGGCCAAUCUGUGCUUCCAAUAUCAUUGUAGCUUUAUUAUUUUUUAUAGGGUUAAUGUUACAAAUAAUUUUUGAACUAUAAUAAAACAUUUAAUGCAAUGUUUAAAUUUUAAAAUUUUAUAAUAUAAUACCUUAAUUAUAAAUAUACUAAUUAAUAUAAUAUUUAAAAAGUUAUUUGUCUAUUAUGUGUCAUCAUUUAAAAUUAGUUACAUUAAAGAUAAAUAUUAUAUUAGUUACAGAAUCACAAUUCAAGUAUCGCAUUAGAAAUUUUUAAAAUUUAAGUAUUAUAUUAAAUAUUUCAUUAUAAUUUAUUAGCUAUACAUGGUAUUAACCUUUUUUUAUUACUAUUGUUACGGCAUUUUUAUGGUAAAAAUGAUAUAAUGGUCUUUUAUCAAAAAAGAAUGACUCACCAACAACUUAGGAUUAUUUUUAUCAUUUGAUCUGAGUUGAUAUGGCAAGUUGACCUUAUUCUUUAGAGUUCAUAUCAACUCGAUCAAUAUCAUUCUACUUGACAACGUGUGAAUAUGAUGAUUUGUUACUUUUUUGUUGGGUUUUUUUUGCCAUGUCAAGUUGAGUUGACCUCAUCAGCACUAAAUUCAAUUCCAAAAGCUUGGAUCACUAUGAUUUGAAUACCUUUUCUCUCGAGUAUAAUACUUUUUCUCCUCCUAAGUAUGGAUAAUCACUUAUCCAUUCUCUUUAUAGGUUCCACUAUUUAUCUAUUCUGAACACUGAGUUUAGUGUUGAAAUACAAAUAUCAGAUAUAACUCUGAUCUUUAUUUUUUAUGGAUCUCCAUUCUCAUUUGAUUUUCAAAUCUUUAACCUUUCAAGUUGAGCUCAACACCAAGAACUAUAAAAUAAAAUAAUAUCAAUAAGUGUUAAAUAAAAAAAUAGCCCUUAUGCAAUACACUUUCUAUCAAUUUAGUAUUUAGAGAAACAAAAUUCACAAUUAUGUAGUAAAACUUUUGUUUCGUCGUACACUUUGAUACUUUAGACUAACGUUGUUAGUCAAAUUACUAACAUAGUAUAAAUACUCAAUAAAAUCAUAACACUUGUAAAAAAUGUACAAUUAUCAUUAGAGGUAUAUUAAGUUGAGUUCAAUUGAUAUAAUAAGAAAUUUGAGCUCAUAUUCGAUUCGAAAUUCACUAUUUAAAACUCAACUCGAACUUGCUUGAAUUUUAAUUUUUAAAUUUAAAUUCAACUUGAGAUAAAAAUUGAACUACUUGAACUUGUUUGAUUAAGCUCGUUUAUCAUAUAAAAAAAAAUAAUUCCUAUGCUCAACAUCAAGCUCUAGCUCAAAUUAAUUUACAUAAAGGUAAAAUAGUAGUUUUCAAUUAAAAUAAUUAAAAUAUAUUAAACUAUAAAAACUUGAUUAGGCCCAAACUACUUGAAUCAAGUAUUAGGAUGCUUGUACUCGGCUCACCCAAUAAGUCGAACUACUCAAGCUCGGUUAGACAAUGAUCAAACUGAAUUUAAAUUUUAUUUGAGUCAAGUCUAAGUAGUUUGUAAAUUAAUGUAUUAUUUAUACCCUUAGUUAUCACGGCGUUAUAUUAGAAGAAAUCUACAAAAAAUAAAAAAAAUAAAUUUUUAAAAUUUUUAAAAAAAUUUAUUUUUUUGAAAAUUUAAAAUAAUUAAAAAAACUGAAAAUUAAAAAAUCUUAAAAUUUUCAAAAAAAAAUCCUAAAAAAUUAAACAAAUCCAAAUUUUUUCAAAAAAGAUUCAAAAACAUUUAAAUAAAAAAAAUCAAAAACAAAUUUGAAAAACUAAAAGUAAUUAAAAAAUUUUAAAAUAGUUAAAACUUAAAAAAAAUUCCAAAAUUUUAAAAAAUAUAAAAAAUUUUAAAAAGUAAAUAAAAUGGAAAAAUACUUUAAAAAUUCCAAAAAAUAAAAAGUUUUUUGUAAAAUUUUAAAAAAUCCAAAAAUUUUUAAAAAAGUGAGAAAUUUUAGAAAAAAUUGUAAAAAAUGAAAAAAAAAUCUGAAAUAUUAAAAUUUUGAAAAAAAAUAAAAAAUGUAUUUUAAAAAAUCUACUAAAAAUCUGAAAAAUGAAAAAAAAUCCAAAGAAUUUAAAAAAUAUGAAAAACUUUAUAAGAAAUAGAAUUUAAAAAAAAAUCAACAAAAUUGAAAAAAUUAAAAUGUCAAAACUUAAAAAGUAAAAUUAAAAAAAAUCUAAAAAACAAAAAAAAAUCGUUGGGCUAUAUUUCUUAUUUUUAUAUGGUAAUAUUUUUGAAGUUUUUCAAUUUUGAAUUUUUUAAAAAUAUUCAACUUUUUAAAUUUUUUCUUUUUUUUUAUAGAAUUUUUAUAAAACAUUUUCAGUUUUUUUUUUUUAAUUUAUUUUGGAUUUUUUAACGUUAUAGAUUUUUUUUAUUUUUUUGGAUUUUAAAAUAAAAUUUUUUAUUUUUUAUUUUUUAAAGUUUCCAAUAUUCGAUUUUUCAUUUUUUUUGGAAUUUUUCAAAAAAUUUUCAUUUAUUUUGAAUUUUUUGGAUUUAAAAUAUUUUUUUCUAUUUUGGAUUUUCAAUUUAUCGAUUUUUUGAUUUGUUAGUUUAGGAAUUUAUUUUUAAUUUUUUAAUUUUUCAUAUUUUCCCUUUUUUAAACUUCAUUGGAAUUUUUUUAUAAAAAAUUUAUUUUUUUGAAAAUUUUAGGAAAUUUUUUAAUUUCUCUAAUUUUUGUAUAUUUUUAGGAUGUUUUUAAAAAUUUUCACAUUUUUUGAAUUUUUUAAUUUUUCAUAAAAUUGUUUUGAUUUUUUUUAAUUGUUCAAUUUUUUCUUGAAUUUUUUAUAUUUUAUAAAUGUUUUUACUAAUAUUGAUAAUGUAAUGAUGAUAUAACGAUAAUUGAACAUUUUUUAUAUGUGUUAUGAUUUUAUCAAGUAUUGAUGUCAUGUCAGUAAUUUGAUUAACGAUGUUAAGUAAAACAUCAAGGUGUAUAAUAAAAUAAAAGUUCAAAUUCUUAAUUAUGAAUUUUAGUUCAUUAGAUAUAAAUUUAUUGAAAAUAUAUAAUGCAUAAGUAUUUUUUUUAUAUUUAACCCUAUCAAUAAAUAAAUAUUUUAGCGUGCUAAAAAAAACCUUAUUAAAAAAUAAAAUAAAAAAAAAGACAAUAGUAACUUGAGUAAAAGGAGUUUUCAACUUUUUAACUAAAAAUUAGGGUUAAUAACAUUUGUAAUAUCUAAAUUUUAACUUAAAUUUUAUUUUAUUUUUUAAAAAUUUUAAUCGGAUUCUCAAUCUGUUAAAGUUGUCUUAUUUUGAUCUUUUCGUCUAUGAAAUCAUUUAAAUUGAUAUUAAAUGUUAGAUGGUGCCAUGUGAUGAUGUUAAUUUGUAUUUUACUUGACAAAAAAAGAACCUAAAUAGAAUUCUUUCAAAAUUUAAAAAUUAAAGAUGAAAUUAUUUUAAAAUUUUAUAUAUUUUAUAUAUUUUUAUAAAAUAUUAAAUUUAAAAAUUAUAAUUUAAUAUUUUAGAAAAAAAGUUUUUUUAGAUUAAAAAAUUUUUAUUAUGUUUAUGAAUAAAUAAUAUUUUUUAAUAAAAUAUAAUUUUUGUUUUUAAAAAUGUUAUGUGAAUUUUAAAAAAGCAUCUAAAUUUUGAAUUAAAGUUUUAAGUUUUGAUAUCUAUUUUCAAUUUAAAAACUAAAAAUUUACCUAUAAAUUUAUUUAGAACAAAAUAUGAAAAUAGAAUUUUAAAUUUAAUAUUUGGUAAAAUACUGAUAAAAAUAUAUAAAAUAUAUAAAAUUUUAAAAUAAUUUUAUCAUUGGUGCUUAAAGUUUAAAAAAAUAUAUAUUUUGAUCAUUUUUUGUUGCAUGAUGUCAACUGAUGUUAUUUUGUAUUAUCAGUUGAAAUUUAUUAUCAAUUAAAUAGUUUCAUUUAUGAAAAAAUCAAAAUAAGAUAAUUUUAAUAAAUUAAAAUUUUAAUUAAAAUAUUUAAAAUAUGAGGAAUCAAAAUAAAAUUUGAAUCGGAAUUUAAUAUCUGUUAUUAACCUUAAUAAUUAAGAAGAUUUAAAAAGACAUAAAUUAAGAGUUCGAACGCAAUUUGGCCAAAAAAAAGAAAGAAAAAGAAAAAAACACCAAAUCCUAAUAUCCCCAAAAUUUAUUUUCCCUCUUUUUUAAAGGCACUGCACAUCUGGCAAACCAAAAAAUCCUUUCUUUUUCCCGUAUUUCGCCGCCUUUUCAACCAUCGGUCUCGUAUAUAAUUACUUCCCCCAUUCCCUUCUCCGAUUAUACUUUCUUUAGCGCUAGGCUUAGGGUUUAUUUUUCAGAAGUGCUCUCAAUUUCGAUCGUAUUUCUGGUGCGUACUUUCCUAUUUUUUGAGCUAGGGUUUUGCUUCUCUAUCUUUUGUCCUUUUGUUUUUUAAAAAGAUUAUCUUGAUUCUUAGUUAUAUUUCACAACUCCCAUUGAUCUUUGCGUGUUUAUUUGUAAUCUGUAAUCUCAGUUUCGCGGUUCUUCUUUCUUUUGAAAUCGUAAUCAACUAUAGGUUUUUCCUUUUUCAUUUAACCUUGUGAGCCACGGCGUCUGAUGUGACAUUGUUUAGAAAUUUUGCUUUUCGCAAUUUUUUUUUUUGCUCCCUCUGAUUUUGUUGUUAGCGUUUUCGUCAAUGUUUGGAUGUUCAUGUUAUAUUAUUUUUUAAUUUAUCCAUAUAGAUUUUAUUUGUGUCUGAAUUUUUGUUUGCCCAUUUCAUGCUAAGGUUUUGUUAAUCUUUGUGGUUUGAUUGUUUGGUAUUCGACGUUAUGAAUUUUUUUGUUAUAUGCUUUUGCAGAUUUUAAUUUUAAGAAACCAUAGCUCCUAUUUACACAAUGGAGCGCAAGACUAUUGAAUUGGAUCAGGGAUGGGAUUAUAUUUGGAAGGGGAUCACAAAACUGAAGAGGAUUUUGGAAGGAUUGCCAGAGCCUCCAUUUAGCUCAGAAGAAUAUAUGAUGCUUUACACGUAUCACUAAUUACUUGUUUUCAGUUUUGUUGAUUCUUUUCGAGCCACAGACUUAUUAUUUAUAAUCAUCUGGUAUUUUUUAUCCUCAUCAUCUUUCCUUAAUUGGAACCACUACAGGACUAUCUACAACAUGUGUACUCAAAAGCCACCUCAUGAUUAUUCUCAGCAGCUUUAUGACAAGUACCGAGAGGCAUUUGAGGAAUAUAUUACAUCGAUGGUAAGGAAUUUAGAGUCUUGUCUGCCAUCACUAGGUUGCUGAGUACUGACUAGUCUGUGUAGAUAGAUAGUGAUUUAUAUAAAACUCAGUUUAUUAUGGAGGCAUUGUUUUACUGCUAUGAUUUCAAGGAUGUUAAUGUAAUUAGUCCUCUCUUGGGGAAUUAUUGCUGAAAUCCUCCCUUUUUUUUUUCCUUCUUUGCAUGACAAAGGGAUUUGACCAACAUCUUUUAGAAUGCAUAUUCCAUGGACUGAAAGCAAUGCUAUAUUUCAUUUACUUUGUUUUAGGUUCUAUAUUCCAAGAGCUUUGGUUGCAUUUGUUUGAUGUUUUCUAUAUUAUAUUGUUUUUUAAAGAUUGUAAUAACUCAUUUGCUUUGUUGAUUUUUUAAGCUCCAUGGUUUUAUUGUUUGAUACUUUUGCAAAUUCUUCUUUUACUAGCUUUCUUCUCAGUAGGAACCUUGAAAGUUUUUUAUCCAUCCAUCUACUUUGUGUGGUAAAUAUGCUUUUUGCUCAUAUUUCCUCCUUUUUAAAAAUAGGUAUUACCAUCUUUAAGAGAGAAGCAUGAUGAGUUCAUGCUGAGGGAGCUUUGUUAAAAGAUGGACAAACCAUAAAGUGAAUGGUCAGGUGGUUAUCACGCUUCUUCAAUUACCUAGGUCCGCUAUUUCAUUGCCGCAGAUCACUUCCUGCACUUAAUGAAGUUGGCCUGACCUGCUUCCGUGAUCUGGUUUGUUAUUAGUUCUUCUAAUGACACAUUUAUCCAAUACUAAUUACGGUGUAAUGAGUUGGAUUUUGAGAUUGUGCUGCCCAUUAUUUCAAAUAUGCUCUUAACUAAUUGUAUACUACCUAUUUUACUAAUCUCAGGUGUAUCAAGAAGUGCAAUGACAAAGUCAGAGAUGCUGUAAUUGUCCUUGUAAGUUUCCAUCAUUAUGUCAUGGUUAAUUGUAUUUUAGGUUGGCAUUUUGAAUAAAAACUAAGAGUAACAGUUACUUCAUAUCAGAUUGAUAAAGAACGUGAGGGAGAGCAGAUAGACCGAGCAUUAUUGAAGAAUGUGUUAGAUAUUUUUGUUGAGGAUUGGCAUGGGCCAAAUGGUUCGUUAUGAAGAUGAUUUUGAAGCAGAUAUGCUUGAGGAUACUGGUGCCUACUACUCACGGAAGGCAUCAAGCUGGAUUGAGGAUGAUUCGUGUCCAGAUUACAUGUUGAAGGCAAGUACUUGCUGUUCCUGCAUUUAUAUUUUUAUAGGUUAUAAGUUUUUCACCUUGAUUAACCGGAUGGUUCUAAUUGUUUUUAUUUUAAAUGAUAAUUGCAGUCUGAAGAAUGCUUGAAGAAGGAAAGGGACAGAGUGUCCUCAUUACCUGCAUUCAAGCAGUGAGACAAAAUUGUCAGAGGUCAGUUGAAUGGUUGGAAAGUUAUAGUUUAAUGAAGAGCUUUUUCUGUGAGCUUUAGCUUGGGCUUGAGGGUGCACUUUUUUUUCUUCGGAGAGAAAAUCUGUUUAAUUUUCUUCUAUAAGAGGUGACUUAAAUGAAUAGUGUUUGGAUGUGUGAAACGUUGUCACUAAGAUAUUACAAUAGAAGUUGUGUGAAUUAUUUUCAAGUGGAAAGAUCUGGUUGCUUUUAUCUAUUUUCUUCUAGCUACCUAGAAAUGGAGAUUGCAUGUUUUUGACUUAUCCAAUGACAUGGAAUAAUAUAGGCAUGUGAUAAGAAUAAACAGAGACUUCCUAUUAAGACAGCUUUAUAAUUCCUAGAGCACUCUACUUAUAGCUGUUUGUUCUUUAUCUAGAAAGUGCAACAUGAGUUGUUGGUCAUGUACGCAAAUCGGCUACUUGAAAAGGAGCAUUCAGGAUGUAGGGCCUUGCUUAGAGAUGACAAGGUAUCAUCCAACCUUGUUUCUUUGCUAGCAAUGCUUACUCUUCUGGCUGUUUGCUUUGGAAAAUAUAUAAUCAGAUAGUUAUUUGGCUUUGUUUACACUCUGUAGCGGGAGGAUCUCUCUAGGAUGUACAGGCUUUAUUGUAAAAUACCUCGAGGCUUGGAUCCUGUUGCUAAUAUAUUCAAGCAGGUCUGAAUAUCCUGUUUAUUCUGCAAGCUAAAUGCCCAUCUUUCUCAUGUUACUUUAUGAUUUUACUGACUCUUUGUGAGUAAUUACUUUUUGCAAGCAUAUUACAGCUUGAGGGUACAGCCUUGGUUCAACAGGCGGAAGAUGCUGCAAGUAACCAGGUUAAUUGCUGGAUGCAUUUAUUGAUUUCCUUCUGUACUAGAAGAUAAAUCAUGAAGAUUUUUUCUGGAUUGUAAUUGUGUGCUUGUGAGGGGAUGAAAUCCUUUUCUUUUAGACUAAUAAAAUGGGUACAAGAGUAGUAUUUAAACAUAUCAGUGUGGCAUGUUGAUUUUUAUCUUCAUUUGUUAUUGUGGUUGUGCAGUUCUUGUAACUGUUAAGUUUGAUUUGCCUUUGACAUGCCAAUAUUCCCAUUUUAUUUCUCUUUAGGAAAAAGAGAGUUAAUUCCAACUAAUACAGACUAAAAUUUUCCCACAAUUGAUGGAAAAAUAGAUGAUCAUAUUCAUUUUUGUUUUGAAUAAUCACCUGUCUGGUUCUAAGUGCUGAUAUUCACUCAUUUCCACAGGCCUCAAAUGCUCCUGGUGUGCAGGAACAGGUAAAUAUCCCAACUUUUACAGCUAUGGAUUCUUUUGAAAUCUGUAAAAAUGUUGAAAAUUGUUACUUCUGUCAUUGUUAGGACCUUAUCAGCAAAAUUAUCAAGCUGCACAAUAAGUACAUCGUGUAUGUGACUCGCUGCUUUCAAAACCAUACUCUGUUCACAAGGUUUGUGUUGGAACACCUAAAUUUGUAAUAUGGAUCUGGUUCAGUCGUGUUAUCUAAAAUUUGUAAUAAGAAUAAACAGAGACUUCCUAUUAAGACUGCUUUAUAAUUCCUAGAGCACUCUACUUAUAGCUGUUUGUUCUUUAUCUAGAAAGUGCCACAUGAGUUGUUGGUCAUGUACGCAAAUCGGCUACUUGAAAAGGAGCAUUCAGGAUGUAGGGCCUUGCUUAGAGAUGACAAGGUAUCAUCCAACCUUGUUUCUUUGCUAGCAAUGCUUACUCUUCUGGCUGUUUGCUUUGGAAAAUAUAUAAAUCAGAUAGUUAUUUGGCUUUGUUUACACUCUGUAGCUGGAGGAUCUCUCUAGUAAGUACUGGCUUUAUUGUAAAAUACCAUCAAGGCUUGGAUCCUGUUGCUAAUAUAUUCAAGCAGGUCUGAAUAUCCUGUUUAUUCUGCAAGCUAAAUGCCCAUCUUUCUCAUGUUACUUUAUGAUUUUACUGACUCUUUGUGAGUAAUUACUUUUUGGCAGCAUAUUACAGCUGAGGGUACAGCCUUGGUUAACAGGCGAAGAUGCUGCAAGUACCAGGUUAAUUGCUGGAUACAUUUAUUGAUUUCCUUCUGUACUAGAAGAUAAAUCAUAAAGAUUUUUUCUGGAUUGUAUUGUGUGCUUGUGAGGGGAUGAAUCCUUUUCCUUUUAGACUAAUAAAAUGGGUACAAGAGUAGUAUUUAAACAUAUCAGUGUGGCAUGUUGAUUUUUAUCUUCAUUUGUUAUUGUGGUUGUGCAGUUUUGUAACUGUUAAGUUUGAUUUGCCUUUGACAUGCAUUUAUUUCUCUUUAGGAAAAAGAGAGUUAAUUCCAACUACUACAGACUAAAAUUUUCCCACAAUUGAUGGAAAAAUAGAUGAUCAUAUUCAUUUUUGUUUUGAAUAAUCACCUGUCUGGUUCUAAGUGCUGAUAUUCACUCAUUUCCACAGGCCUCAAUGCUCUGGUGUGCAGGAACAGGUAAAUAUCCCACUUUUACAGCUAUGGAUGCUUUUGAAAUCUGUAAAAAUGUUGAAAAUUGUUACUUCUGUCAUUGUUAGGUCCUUAUCAGGAAAAUUAUCGAGCUGCAACGAUAAGUAAUGGAGUAUGUGACUCGCUGCUUUCAAAACCAUACUCUGUUCCACAAGGUUUGUGUUGGAACACCUAAAUUUGUAAUAUGGAUCUGGUUCAGUCAUGUUAUCUAAACAUGCUUCGUUGAAAUGUUCAAUGAGCCAUUGAAAGAGGCUUUGAGGUAUUUUGCAACAAAACUGUUUCUGGCAGCUCAAGUGCUGAGCUUUUGGCAACUUUCUGUGAUAAUAUCCUGAAGAAGGGUGGAAGUGAGAAAUUAAGUGAUGAAGCCAUUGAAGAAGCACUUGAGAGGUAGCUUUAUCCACCAUUUUUAUACUGAAUUUAUGGUGAUCUGAAAUUGAUUCUGAACUAUCUGUUUGGUUUCUGGCAGGUAGUUAAGCUGUUUGCCUAUAUUAGUGACAAAGACCUCUUUGCCGAAUUCUACAGGUGAGGUUUUUUUUUUUGUCAAUUAGUUUCACAUCUGCUUGUUUUUAAAAAAAAGAAAAAAAAAAAAAAAACCCUUUAAAGGCAUGAGUUUGCAUGGUACAUUUUGAUCCUAACUUUAUGGUGUGCAAUCAUUGACAGGAAGAAACUCGCUCGGCGACUGCUUUUUGACCGCAGUGCUAAUGAUGAUCAUGAAAGGAGUAUUCUGACUAAGCUAAAGGAGCAAUGCGGUGGACAGUUCACCUCGAAGAUGGAGGGCAUGGUGAGUUGGCCUGACUUUUGCUUAGUUUAUUUUUCUGCAUUAAUUACGGUUUAAAUUGUGAUGAAAACUUGUCUUCUACCUUCAUGACAGGUGACAGAUCUGACAUUGGCAAGGGAAAACCAGGCCAGCUUUGAGGACUAUCUUAGAAAUAACCCAGCUGCACAUCCUGGGAUCGAUUUAAACAGUUACUGUUCUUACCACAGGAUUCUGGCCAAGUUAUAAAUCAUUUGAUCUCAAUCUCCCUGCUGAGAUGGUAAUGACUUCUAACAUGUUAUUGUAUGAUGACAGAAUUAGAGCUCUUACUCCAGCAUGUCUUCAGAAAUUUUAUUUGUUUCAGGUCAAGUGUGUGGAAGUUUUCAAAGGAUUUUAUGAAACAGAAACAAAACAUAGAAAGCUUACAUGGAUAUACUCUCUGGGAACUUGCCACAUUAAUGGCAAGUUUGAGGAGAAAACUAUUGAGUUGAUUGUUUCAACUUAUCAGGUAAACCGACUCUGUAAACUGUGUGCGCUUCUUAAAUUGAAAAAUUGUGGUUUGGGUUGGAUUUAUGUCUUUGUCUUGCUGGGUUGCGGUGUUGAACUUUGAUUGUGGAAUCUAAUUUCCAGUUGCCUAUGUAAACAGGCUGCUGUCCUCCUUCUGUUUAAUGCUUCUGAUCGGCUGAGCUAUUCAGAGAUCAUGGCUCAGUUGAACUUGACCCAUGAUGACUUGGUCAGGUUACUACAUUCGCUGGCAUGUGCCAAGUAUAAGAUUCUAAGUAAAGAGCCAAACACAAAAACCAUCUCCCAGAGUGAUUACUUUGAGUUCAACUCUAAGUUUACUGACAAGUUGAGGAGGAUUAAGGUCUGGGAUAGUUUUGCAACUCUCUUUUAUGUUAUUAUUGCUUUUGGUAUUUAUUUGAAUGAGAGGUUCUACCUUUGGAAAUAACCUUGUAAACUAUCCUAUGUAGAUUCCUCUCCCUCCAGUGGAUGAAAGGAAGAAAGUUGUUGAAGAUGUUGAUAAAGAUCGGCGUUAUGCUAUUGACGCUGCAAUUGUGCGCAUAAUGAAGAGUAGGAAAGUUUUGGGCCACCAACAAUUAGUUUCAGAGUGUGUUGAGCAGUUGAGUCGCAUGUUCAAGGUAUUAAUAUACGCUAACCCUUUAUCUGACAGUUUGUGAGAGAAACAUUAGAUGUAUAGAUGGGGAUAUCAGGUUGCCUUAACUGACAGAAAACCACACACAGGGCACAUGCAAGCCAAACAUACACUGUAUGAAAAUAAUCUUUUAAAGAAUGAAAAGCUAGAGGACAAAAAGAUCUAUGAGAUUUGGGUAGAAAGGUGGAAAAACGAAUGGUUCUCUUAUCCAAAGGAAGUUUACUUUUGUGAAUGAUGCAUGUAAAUAAAAGAUGAGAGGUGAUAGAUUUUAUUUUAAAUGAAAAGUGAUGAAAUGGAAGGAGUGGGGUUAUCAAAUUGGAUAAAACAUCGACUUUUUUAUAGGUGAUUAACGUGUUGUGUUUCUGUGAUCAAACACAUGCACGGAAACUGGAAAGUAAGUAAUAGGUGAUAGGUUGUUUAAUUACAUAACUUCUUAGUAGUUGGUACUAAUUACGUAGGAUGUGGUUGGGAUUUGCAGCCUGAUAUUAAAGCCAUCAAGAAGCGGAUGGAGGAUCUCAUCACACGAGACUAUCUGGAGAGAGACAAAGAUAAUCCAAACUUGUUUAGGUACUUGGCCUAAGUAGGUCCUUCCCAAUGGAACGUGGGAAGUGGUACAGUCAGAUGGAUUUGCAAUGCUCCCCACUGAAAUCCGCAUAUUUUUUCUGGGUACCUUGUGUAAAGUUCAACGAAGUUUUAAUUGUCUAUUGAAAUUUAAUUAGUGUUUCACUUUAAAUUUCAUCAGUAUGAAUAUUACAUGAGUAGUUAACUUUUUAAAUUACGUUUAUUUAGUGUCUCACAUCUAUACAUAUUUUGAAAAAAAUUCUCAAUGAAAUUAUCAAAUUAUUGUCUUAUUAUUUGAUAAAAAAUUGACACAUGAUCAAUUAUUAUUAUGUUUUUAUAUCAUAAUUAUGAAAAUAUUUUUAUGUUAUAAUUAUUUUCUAUAAUAUCCUUAUUUCAUAUUUACGGAAAUAUUUGAUUUUUUAAAUUAAUUGUUAUAGUUUUAUAUCAUAAUUAUAAAAAUACUCAUAGGCAAUAGUUAUUUAUUAUAAUAUCUUCAUUUUAUAAUUACAGAAAUAUUUCUUUUCUUAUUAUUGAAUUGUAAAAAUAAUUUUCUAUUAUUGAUAAAAAUUAUUAUAAUAUUUUUAUAUCAUAAUUAUAAAAAUAUUUUUUCUCAUAAUUGAUUAAAAUUAUUAUAAUAAUGUUUUUAUCAUAAUUUUGAAAAUAUUUUUAUGAAUAUUUAAUAAGAAUUAGACAUGUGAUAUUUAUUGUAACAUAAAUUAAAAUAAUUCUUUUGAUAAUCAUAUAUAUAUAUAUAUAUAUUACAAUAUACAUAAUUUUAGAUAAAAUUUAUUGACAUGGAUAUUUGUAUGAUUUUUUUUUUUUGACGCGUAAAAAAGUUUCUUAAAUUUCUUUCUUUAAGUAUACAUAAGAUAUUUAUUAAUUUUAAAUUAUUAAUUAAAAAUAUAUUUUAAAAAAUUAUUAAAUUAUCUAAAAAUUUUAAAUUUUAAAUAAAAAUCAGUUUAAAUUCAAAUAAAUUUUCUUAUCUCAUGUAUUAUCUCAUCUCCGUAACAUUCAACAAAUCAAUCAGAUGAACCUUUCAUUUAAAAAUAAGUUUUUUCAUUUUAAAUGGUCUUCCACUUUCUAUCAUGCUCCUGAGUAAUUUUAAAAUGUUUUCAAUUUCUCAAGCUAAAUUAUCUUGUUUUUAAUUUGUCUCUCACAACUGCUUACUUCUCUCACGCUCCUUAGAUGCACCUAAAAGACACUACCAUCUACUUUCUUUUUUAGUCUUGGAAGUGACAUUCUGAGGUUUGUUUGCAGGGAAGAAAAAAUGACUGAGACAAAAAGUUUAGCAGUGGUGCGCAGUAGGCAAAUGGGUUCUGGCAUAGCUCAGCUUGGUGCCAUGCAUGGUCUCCAUGUUUGGCUCCUUGAUACUGACCCUGUUGCACUUUCUAGAGCCUCCAAAGCUAUAUAUUUUUCCCUUCAACGUUUUGUUUCAAAGGUCAUCUGCCCCAAGUAAAAUUGGUUUUUUUUUUUUUCAUCUAAUUUGUUGAUUGUUUUAAGUUUGGUUUUGAUGUGAUUUGAAGUCUUGAACCAGGAGAUUUUUUUCAGUUUAACACUCGAUCUUCUGACAGUUUGCAGUUAUACCAUAUUUGUACAUAUUGAUGAAUUGAAUAAAUAGUUUUGGUAAAGGGAUUCUUUUUGAUGAAAAGAUGUUUUUUUUUAUAUAAUCAGCCACUCCACAUGAUGCGUUAAUUAGAUAUUAUCAUAUUUACACCAAGCUGUUGUCAAAUAGUUAGUAAAUUUUUUUUAAUUCAUUCAAGUAAUAGCAAAUGAAAAAUUAAUUAAAUAAUGCUUAAUUCAAUAUUUUAUAUAAUUAUUUUUAAAAAAUAAUAUUUAGUAGAUUUGUUAUUCAAAUUCUAAUAUUUGUAAUUUUUUUUCUAUUAUCAGAUGAUAGCUCUUAUUAUAAAAUAAAUAAAAAAUUAAUUUAAAUUCGGUUCAUUGUAUCUUAUCUUGAGAUAUUAUAUGCCCAAUUAAGAAAAUAUUUUAGUGACUAAUUAUAUUCUUUAAUUCUAUCUUUCUAUACACGUUGAAUAAGGAAGUUCUUCCAAUGACCUUUAUCUAAGAAUAGCAGGCCAAUCUGUGCUUCCAAUAUCAUUGUAGCUUUAUUAUUUUUAUAGGGUUAAUGUUACAAAUAAUUUUUGAACUAUAAUAAAACAUUUAAUGCAAUGUUUAAAUUUUAAAAUUUUAUAAUAUAAUACCUUAAUUAUAAUAUACUAAUUAAUAUAAUAUUUAAAAAGUUAUUUGUCUAUUAUGUGUCAUCAUUUAAAAUUAGUUACAUUAAAGAUAAAUAUUAUAUUAGUUACAGAAUCACAAUUCAAGUAUCGCAUUAAAAAUUUUUAAAAUUUAAGUAUUAUAUUAAAUAUUUCAUUAUAAUUUAUUAGCUAUACAUGGUAUUAACCUUUUUUUAUUACUAUUGUUACGGCAUUUUAUGGUAAAAAUGAUAUAAUGGUCUUUUAUCAAAAAAGAAUGACUCACCAACAACUUAGGAUUAUUUUUAUCAUUUGAUCUGAGUUGAUAUGGCAAGUUGACCUUAUUCUUUAGAGUUCAUAUCAACUCGAUCAAUAUCAUUCUACUUGACAACGUGUGAAUAUGAUGAUUUGUUACUUUUUUGUUGGGUUUUUUUUUGCCAUGUCAAGUUGAGUUGACCUCAUCAGCACUAAAUUCAAUUCCAAAAGCUUGGAUCGCUAUGAUUUGAAUACCUUUUCUCUCGAGUAUAAUACUUUUUCUCCUCCUAAGUAUGGAUAAUCACUUAUCCAUUCUCUUUAUAGGUUCCACUAUUUAUCUAUUCUGAACACUGAGUUUAGUGUUGAAAUACAAAUAUCAGAUAUAACUCUGAUCUUUAUUUUUUAUGGAUCUCCAUUCUCAUUUGAUUUUCAAAUCUUUAACCUUUCAAGUUGAGCUCAACACCAAGAACUAUAAAAUAAAAUAAUAUCAAUAAGUGUUAAAUAAAAAAAUAGCCCUUAUGCAAUACACUUUCUAUCAAUUUAGUAUUUAGAGAAACAAAAUUCACAAUUAUGUAGUAAAACUUUUGUUUCGUCGUACACUUUGAUACUUUAGACUAACGUUGUUAGUCAAAUUACUAACAUAGUAUAAAUACUCAAUAAAAUCAUAACACUUGUAAAAAAUGUACAAUUAUCAUUAGAGGUAUAUUAAGUUGAGUUCAAUUGAUAUAAUAAGAAAUUUGAGCUCAUAUUCGAUUCGAAAUUCACUAUUUAAAACUCAACUCGAACUUGCUUGAAUUUUAAUUUUUAAAUUUAAAUUCAACUUGAGAUAAAAAUUGAACUACUUGAACUUGUUUGAUUAAGCUCGUUUAUCAUAUAAAAAAAAAUAAUUCCUAUGCUCAACAUCAAGCUCUAGCUCAAAUUAAUUUACAUAAAGGUAAAAUAGUAGUUUUCAAUUAAAAUAAUUAAAAUAUAUUAAACUAUAAAAACUUGAUUAGGCCCAAACUACUUGAAUCAAGUAUUAGGAUGCUUGUACUCGGCUCACCCAAUAAGUCGAACUACUCAAGCUCGGUUAGACAAUGAUCAAACUGAAUUUAAAUUUUAUUUGAGUCAAGUCUAAGUAGUUUGUAAAUUAAUGUAUUAUUUAUACCCUUAAUUAUCACGGCGUUAUAUUAGAAGAAAUCUACAAAAAAUAAAAAAAAUAAAUUUUUAAAAUUUUUAAAAAAAUUUAUUUUUUGAAAAUUUAAAAUAAUUAAAAAAACUGAAAAUUAAAAAAUCUUAAAAUUUUCAAAAAAAAAUCCUAAAAAAUUAAACAAAUCCAAAUUUUUUCAAAAAAGAUUCAAAAACAUUUAAAUAAAAAAAAUCAAAAACAAAUUUGAAAAACUAAAAGUAAUUAAAAAAUUUUAAAAUAGUUAAAACUUAAAAAAAAUUCCAAAAUUUUAAAAAAUAUAAAAAAUUUUAAAAAGUAAAUAAAAUGGAAAAAUACUUUAAAAAUUCCAAAAAAUAAAAAGUUUUUUGUAAAAUUUUAAAAAAUCCAAAAAUUUUUAAAAAAGUGAGAAAUUUUAGAAAAAAUUGUAAAAAAUGAAAAAAAAAUCUGAAAUAUUAAAAAUUUUGAAAAAAAAUAAAAAAUGUAUUUUAAAAAAUCUACUAAAAAUCUGAAAAAAUGAAAAAAAAAUCCAAAGAAUUUAAAAAAUAUGAAAAACUUUAUAAGAAAUAGAAUUUAAAAAAAAAUCAACAAAAUUGAAAAAAUUAAAAUGUCAAAACUUAAAAAGUAAAAAUUAAAAAAAAUCUAAAAAACAAAAAAAAUCGUUGGGCUAUAUUUCUUAUUUUUAUAUGGUAAUAUUUUUUGAAGUUUUUCAAUUUUGAAUUUUUUAAAAAUAUUCAACUUUUUAAAAUUUUUCUUUUUUUUUUUAUAGAAUUUUUAUAAAACAUUUUCAGUUUUUUUUUUAAUUUAUUUUGGAUUUUUUAACGUUAUAGAUUUUUUUUAUUUUUUUGGAUUUUAAAAUAAAAUUUUUUAUUUUUUAUUUUUUAAAGUUUCCAAUAUUCGAUUUUUCAUUUUUUUUGGAAUUUUUCAAAAAAUUUUCAUUUAUUUUGAAUUUUUUGGAUUUAAAAUAUUUUUUUCUAUUUUGGAUUUUCAAUUUAUCGAUUUUUUGAUUUGUUAGUUUAGGAAUUUAUUUUUAAUUUUUUAAUUUUUCAUAUUUUCCCUUUUUUAAACUUCAUUGGAAUUUUUUUAUAAAAAUUUAUUUUUUUGAAAAUUUUAGGAAAUUUUUUAAUUUCUCUAAUUUUUGUAUAUUUUUAGGAUGUUUUUAAAAAUUUUCACAUUUUUUGAAUUUUUUAAUUUUUCAUAAAAUUGUUUUGAUUUUUUUUAAUUGUUCAAUUUUUUCUUGAAUUUUUAAUUUUUUUAUAUUUUUUAAAAUUUUUUACUAAUACUGAUAAUGUAAUGAUAAUAUAACGAUAAUUAAACGUUUUUUAUAUGUGUUAUGAUUUUAUCAAGUAUUGAUGUCGUGUCAGUAAUUUAAUUAACGAUGUUAAGUAAAACAUCAAGGUGCAUAAUAAAAUAAAAGUUCAAAUUCUUAAUUAUGAAUUUUAGUUCAUUAGAUAUAAAUUUAUUAAAAAUAUAUAAUACAUAAGUAUUUUUUUAUAUUUAACCCUAUCAAUAAAUAAAUAUUUUAGCGUGCCAAAAAAAAACCUUAUUAAGAAAUAAAAUAAAAAAAAGACAAUAGUAACUUGAGUAAAAGGACUUUUCAACUUUUUAACUAAAAAUUAGGGUUAAUAACAUUUAUAAUAUUAAAUUUUAACUUAAAUUUUAUUUUAUUUUAAAAAAAUUUUAAUCGGAUUCUCAAUUGGUUAAAGUUGUCUUAUUUUGAUCUUUUCGUCUAUGAAAUCAUUUAAAUUGAUAUUAAAUGUUAGAUGGUGCCAUGUGAUGAUGUUAAUUUGCAUUUUACUUGACAAAAAAAGAACCUAAAUAGAAUUCUUUCAAAAUUUAAAAAUUAAAGAUGAAAUUAUUUUAAAAUUUUAUAUAUUUUAUAUAUUUUUAUAAAAUAUUAAAUUUAAAAUUAUAAUUUAAUAUUUUAGAAAAAAAGUUUUUUUAGAUAAAAAAAUAUUUUUAUUAUGAUUUAUGAAUAAAAUAAUAUUUUUAAUAAAAUAUAAUUUUUUGUUUUUAAAAUGUAUUGAAUUUUAAAAAAGAAUCUAAAUUUUUGAAUUAAAUUUUAAGUUUUGAAUAUCUAUUUUCAAUUUAAAACUAAAAUUUACCUAAUAAAUUAUAUUAGAACAAAAAUAUGAAAAUAGAAUUUUAAAUUUAAUAUUUUUGUAAAAUAUGAAUAAAAAAUAUAUAAAAUAUAUAAAAUUUUAAAAUAAUUUUAUCAUUGGUGCUUAAAGUUUAAAAAAAUAUAUAUUUUGAUCAUUUUUUGUUGCAUGAUGUCAACUGAUGUUAUUUUGUAUUAUCAGUUGAAAUUUAUUAUCAAUUAAAUAGUUUUAUUUAUGAAAAAAUCAAAAUAAGAUAAUUUUAAUAAAUUAAAAUUUUAAUUAAAUAUUUAAAAUAUGAGGAAUCAAAAUAAAAUUUGAAUCGGAAUUUAAUAUCUGUUAUUAACCUUAAUAAUAAGACAGAUUUAAAACGACAUAAAUUCAGAGUUCGAAACGCAAUUGGCCAAAACAAAAAGAAAAGAAAAGAAAAAAAACACCAAAUCCUAAUAUCCCAAAAUUUAUUUCCCUCUUUUUUAAAGGCACUGCACAUCUGGCAAACCAAAAAUCCUUUCUUUUUCGCGUAUUUCGCCGCCUUUCCACCAUUCGGUCUCGUAUAUAAUUACUUCCCCAUUCCCUUCUCCGAUUAUACUUUCUUUAGCGCUAGGCUUACGGGUUUAAUUUUCACGAAGUGCUCUCAAUUUCGAAUCGUAAUUUCUGGUACGAUACUUUCCUAUUUUUGAGCUAGGGUUUUGCUUCUCUAAUCUUUGUCUUUCUGUUUUUUAAAAAGAUUAUCUUGAUUCUUAGUAUAUUUUCAACAACUCCCAUUGAUCUUUGCGUGUUUAUUUGUAAUCUGUAAUCUCAGUUUCGCGGUUCUUCUUUCUUUUGAAUCGUAAUCAACUAUAGGUUUUUCCUUUUUCAUUUAACCUUGUGAGCCACGGCGUCUGAUGUGACAUUGUUUAGAAAUUUUGCUUUUCGCAUUUUUUUUUUGCUCCCUCUGAUUUUGUUGUUACGUUUUCGUCAAUGUUUGGAUGUUCAUGUUAUAUUAUUUUUAAUUUAUCCAUAUAGAUUUUAUUUGUGUCUGAAUUUUGUUUGCCCAUUUCAAUGCUAAGGUUUUGUUAAUCUUUGUGGUUUGAUUGUUUGGUAUUUCGACGUUAUGAAUAUUUUUGUUAUAUGCUUUUGCAGAUUUUAAUUUUAAGAACCAGUAGCUCGCUAUUUACACAAUGGAGCGCAAGACUGAUGAAUUGGAUCAGGCGGAUGGGAUUAUAUUUGGAGGGGAUCACAAAACUGAAGAGGGAUUUUGGAAGGAUUGCCAGAGCACUCCCAUUUAGCCUCAGAAGAAUAUUAUGAUGCCUUUACACGUAUCACUAAUUACUUGUUUUCAGUUUGUUGAUUCUUUUCGAGCCACAGACUUAUUAUUUAUAAUCAUCUGGUUAUUUUUUAUCCUCAUCAUCUUUCCUUAAUUGAUACCACUACCAGGACUAUCUACAACAUGUGUACUCAAAAGCCACCUCAUGAUUAUUCUCAGCAGCUUUAUGACAAGUACCGAGAGGCAUUUGAGGAAUAUAUUACAUCGAUGGUAAGGAAUUUAGAGUCUUGUCUGCCAUCACUAGGUUGCUGAGUACUGACUAGUCUGUGUAGAUAGAUAGUGAUUUAUAUAAAACUCAGUUUAUUAUGGAGGCAUUGUUUUACUGCUAUGAUUUCAAGGAUGUUAAUGUAAUUAGUCCUCUCUUGGGGAAUUAUUGCUGAAAUCCUCCCUUUUUUUUUCCUUCUUUGCAUGACAAAGGGAUUUGACCAACAUCUUUUAGAAUGCAUAUUCCAUGGAGUGAAAGCAAUGCUAUAUUUCAUUUACUUUGUUUUAGGUUCUAUAUUCCAAGAGCUUUGGUUGCAUUUGUUUGAUGUUUUCUAUAUUAUAUUGUUUUUUAAAGAUUGUAAUAACUCAUUUGCUUUGUUGAUUUUUUAAGCUCCAUGGUUUUAUUGUUUGAUACUUUUGCAAAUUCUUCUUUUACUAGCUUUCUUCUCAGUAGGAACCCUUGAAAGUUUUUUAUCCAUCCAUCUACUUUGUGUGGUAAAUAUGCUUUUUGCUCAUAUUUCCUCCUUUUUAAAAUAGGUAUUACCAUCUUUAAGAGAGAAGCAUGAUGAGUUCAUGCUGAGGGAGCUUGUUAAAAGAUGGACAAACCAUAAAGUGAUGGUCAGGUGGUUAUCACGCUUCUUCAAUUACCUAGGUCGCUAUUUCAUUGCCCGCAGAUCACUUCCUGCACUUAAUGAAGUUGGCCUGACCUGCUUCCGUGAUCUGGUUUGUUAUUAGUUCUUCUAAUGACACAUUUAUCCAAUACUAAUUAUGGUGUAAUGAGUUGGAUUUUGAGAAUUGUGCUGCCCAUUAUUUCAAAUAUGCUCUUAACUAAUUGUAUACUACCUAUUUUACUAAUCUCAGGUGUAUCAAGAAGUGCAUGACAAAGUCAGAGAUGCUGUAAUUGUCCUUGUAAGUUUCCAUCAUUAUGUCAUGGUUAAUUGUAUUUUUAGGUUGCAUUUUGAAUAAAAACUAAAGAGUAACAGUUACUUCAUAUCAGAUUGAUAAAGAACGUGAGGGAGAGCAGAUAGACCGAGCAUUAUUGAAGAAUGUGUUAGAUAUUUUUGUUGAGAUUGGCAUGGGCCAAAUGGUUCGUUAUGAAGAUGAUUUUGAAGCAGAUAUGCUUGAGGAUACUGGUGCCUACUACUCACGGAAGGCAUCAAGCUGGAUUGAGGAUGAUUCGUGUCCAGAUUACAUGUUGAAGGCAAGUACUUUGCUGUUCCUGCAUUUAUAUUUUUAUAGGUUAUAAGUUUUUCACCUUGAUUAACCCGGAUGGUUCUAAUUGUUUUUAUUUUAAUGAUAAUUGCAGUCUGAAGAAUGCUUGAAGAAGGAAAGGGACAGAGUGUCUCAUUACCUGCAUUCAAGCAGUGAGACAAAAUUGUCAGAGGUCAGUUGAAUGGUUGGAAAGUUAUAGUUUAAUGAAGAGCUUUUUCUGUGAGCUUUAGCUUGGCUUGAGGGUGCACUUUUUUUUCUUCGGAGAGAAAAUCUGUUUAAUUUUCUUCUAUAAGAGGUGACUUAAAUGAAUAGUGUUUGAUGUGUGAAACGUUGUCACUAAGAUAUUACAAUAGAAGUUGUGUGAAUUAUUUUCAAGUGGAAAGAUCUGGUUGCUUUUAUCUAUUUUCUUCUAGCUACCUAGAAAUGGAGAUUGCAUGUUUUUGACUUAUCCAAUGACAUGGAAUAAUAUAGGCAUGUGAUAAGAAUAAACAGAGACUUCCUAUUAAGACAGCUUUAUAAUUCCUAGAGCACUCUACUUAUAGCUGUUUGUUCUUUAUCUAGAAAGUGCAACAUGAGUUGUUGGUCAUGUACGCAAAUCGGCUACUUGAAAAGGAGCAUUCAGGAUGUAGGGCCUUGCUUAGAGAUGACAAGGUAUCAUCCAACCUUGUUUCUUUGCUAGCAAUGCUUACUCUUCUGGCUGUUUGCUUUGGAAAAUAUAUAAAUCAGAUAGUUAUUUGGCUUUGUUUACACUCUGUAGCGGGAGGAUCUCUCUAGGAUGUACAGGCUUUAUUGUAAAAUACCUCGAGGCUUGGAUCCUGUUGCUAAUAUAUUCAAGCAGGUCUGAAUAUCCUGUUUAUUCUGCAAGCUAAAUGCCCAUCUUUCUCAUGUUACUUUAUGAUUUUACUGACUCUUUGUGAGUAAUUACUUUUUGCAGCAUAUUACAGCUGAGGGUACAGCCUUGGUUCAACAGGCGGAAGAUGCUGCAAGUAACCAGGUUAAUUGCUGGAUACAUUUAUUGAUUUCCUUCUGUACUAGAAGAUAAAUCAUGAAGAUUUUUUCUGGAUUGUAAUUGUGUGCUUGUGAGGGGAUGAAAUCCUUUUCUUUUAGACUAAUAAAAUGGGUACAAGAGUAGUAUUUAAACAUAUCAGUGUGGCAUGUUGAUUUUUAUGUUCAUUUGUUAUUGUGGUUGUGCAGUUCUUGUAACUGUUAAGUUUGAUUUGCCUUUGACAUGCCAAUAUUCCCAUUUUAUUUCUCUUUAGGAAAAAGAGAGUUAAUUCCAACUACUACAGACUAAAAUUUUCCCACAAUUGAUGGAAAAAUAGAUGAUCAUAUUCAUUUUGGUUUUGAAUAAUCACCUGUCUGGUUGUAAGAGCUGAUAUUCACUCAUUUCCACAGGCCUCAAAUGCUCCCGGUGUGCAGGAACAGGUAAAUAUCCCAACUUUUACAGCUAUGGAUGCUUUUGAAAUCUGUAAAAAUGUUGAAAAUUGUUACUUCUGUCAUUGUUAGGUCCUUAUCAGGAAAAUUAUCGAGCUGCACGAUAAGUACAUGGUGUAUGUGACUGAGUGCUUUCAAAACCAUACUCUGUUCCACAAGGUUUGUGUUGGAACACCUAAAUUUGUAAUAUGGAUCUGGUUCAGUCAUGUUAUCUAAAAUAUGCUUCGUUGAAAUGUUCAAUAGGCAUUGAAAGAGGCUUUUGAGGUAUUUUGCAACAAAACUGUUUCUGGCAGCUCAAGUGCUGAGCUUUUGGCAACUUUCUGUGAUAAUAUCCUGAAGAAGGGUGGAAGUGAGAAAUUAAGUGAUGAAGCCAUUGAAGAAACACUUGAGAAGGUAGCUUUAUCCCCCAUUUUUAUACUGAUUUUAUGGUGAUCUGAAAUUGAUUCUGAACUAUCUGUUUGGUUUCUGCAGGUAGUUAAGCUGCUUGCCUAUAUUAGUGAUAAAGACCUCUUCGCUGAAUUCUACAGGUGAGGUUUUUUUUUGUCAAUUAGUUUCAUAUCUGCUUUUUUUAAAAAAAGAAAAAAAAAAAACCCUUUAAAGGCAUGAGUUUGCAUGGUACAUUUUGAUCCUAACUUUAUGGUGUGCAAUCAUUGACAGGAAGAAACUUGCUCGGCGACUGCUUUUUGACCGCAGUGCUAAUGAUGAUCAUGAAAGGAGUAUUCUGACUAAGCUAAAGCAGCAAUGCGGUGGACAGUUCACCUCGAAGAUGGAGGGCAUGGUGAGUUGGCCUGAGUUUUGCUUAGUUUAUUUUUCUGCAUUAAUUAGGGUUUAAAUUGUGAUGAAACUUGUCUUCUACCUUCAUGACAGGUGACAGAUCUGACAUUGGCAAGGGAAAACCAGGCCAGCUUUGAGGACUAUCUUAGAAAUAACCCAGCUGCACAUCCUGGGAUCGAUUUAACAGUUACUGUUCUUACCACAGGAUUCUGGCCGAGUUAUAAAUCAUUUGAUCUCAAUCUCCCUGCUGAGAUGGUAAUGACUUCUAACAUGUUAUUGUAUGAUGACAGAAUUAGAGCUCUUACUCCAGCAUGUCUUCAGAAAUUUUAUUUGUUUCAGGUCAAGUGUGUGGAAGUUUUCAAAGGAUUUUAUGAAACAAAAACAAAACAUAGAAAGCUUACAUGGAUAUACUCUCUGGGAACUUGCCACAUUAAUGGCAAGUUUGAGCAGAAAACUAUUGAGUUGAUUGUUUCAACUUAUCAGGUAAACGACUCUGUAAACUGUGUGCGCUUUUUAAAUUAAAAAAUUGUGAUUUGGGUUGGAUUUAUGUCUUUGUCUUGCUGGGUUGCGGUGUUGAACUUUGAUUGUGGAAUCUAAUUUCCAGUUGCGUUUGUAAACAGGCUGCUGUCCUCCUUCUGUUUAAUGCUUCUGAUCGGCUGAGCUAUUCAGAGAUCAUGGCUCAGUUGAACUUGACCCAUGAUGACUUGGUCAGGUUACUACAUUCGCUGGCAUGUGCCAAGUAUAAGAUUCUAAGUAAAGAGCCAAACACAAAAACCAUCUCCCAGAGUGAUUACUUUGAGUUCAACUCUAAGUUUACUGACAAGUUGAGGAGGAUUAAGGUCUGGGAUAGUUUUGCAACUCUCUUUUAUGUUAUUAUUGCUUUUGGUAUUUAUUUGAAUGAGAAGUUCUACCUUUGGAAAUAACCUUGUAAACUAUCCUAUGUAGAUUCCUCUCCCUCCUGUGGAUGAAAGGAAGAAAGUUGUUGAAGAUGUUGAUAAAGAUCGGCGUUAUGCUAUUGACGCUGCAAUUGUGCGCAUAAUGAAGAGUAGGAAAGUUUUGGGCCACCAACAAUUAGUUUCAGAGUGUGUUGAGCAGUUGAGUCGCAUGUUCAAGGUAUUAAUAUACGCUAACCCUUUAUCUGACAGUUUGUGAGAGAAACAUUAGAUGUAUAGAUGGGGAUAUCAGGUUGCCUUAACUGACAGAAAACCACACACAGGCACAUGCAAGCCAAACAUACACUGUAUGAAAAUAAUCUUUUAAAGAAUGAAAAGCUAGAGGACAAAAAGAUCUAUGAGAUUUGGGUAGAAAGGUGGAAAAACGAAUGGUUCUCUUAUCCAAAGGAAGUUUACUUUUGUGAAUGAUGCAUGUAAAUAAAAGAUGAGAGGUGAUAGAUUUUUAUUUUAAAUGAAAAGUGAUGAAAUGGAAGGAGUGGGGUUAUCAAAUUGGAUAAAAACAUCGACUUUUUUAUAGGUGAUUAACCUGUUGUGUUUCUGUGAUCAAACACAUGCACGGAAACUGGAAAGUAAGUAAUAGGUGAUAGGUUGUUUAAUUGCAUAACUUCUUAGUAGUUGGUACUAAUUACGUAGGAUGUGGUUGGGAUUUGCAGCCUGAUAUUAAAGCCAUCAAGAAGCGGAUGGAGGAUCUCAUCACACGAGACUAUCUGGAGAGAGACAAGGAUAAUCCAAACUUGUUUAGGUACUUGGCCUAAAUAGGUCCUUCCCAAUGGAACGUGGGAAGUGGUAGUCAGAUGGAUUUACAAUGCUCCCUCACUGAAAUCCACAUUUUUUUUUCUGGGUACCUUGUGUAAAGUUCAACAAAGUUUUAAUUGUCUAUUGAAAUUUAAAUAGUGUUUCACUUUAAAUUUUAUCAGUAUGAAUAUUACAUGAGUAGUUAACUUUUUAAAUUACGUUUAUUCAGUGUCUCACAUCUAUACAUAUUUUGAAAAAAAUUCUCAAUGAAAUUAUCAAAUUAUUGUCUUAUUAUUUGAUAAAAAAUUGACACAUGAUCAAUUAUUAUUAUGUUUUUAUAUCAUAAUUAUGAAAAUAUUUUUAUGUUAUAAUUAUUUUUUAUAAUAUCCUCAUUUCAUAUUUACGGAAAUAUUUGAUUUUUAAAUUAAUUGUUAUACUUUUAUAUCAUAAUUACAAAAAUACUCAUAUAUAAUAGUUAUUUAUUAUAAUAUCUUCAUUUUAUAAUUACAGAAAUAUUUCUUUUCUUAUUAUUGAAUUAUAAAAAUAUUUUUUUAUUAUUGAUAAAAUAAUUAUAAUAUUUUUAUAUCGUAAUUAUAAAAAUAUUUUUUUCUCAUAAUUGAUUAAAAUUAUUAUAAUAAUAUUUUUAUCAUAAUUAUGAAAAUAUUUUUAUGAAUAUUUAAUAAGAAGUGUAUAGGAGAUAUUUUAUUGUAACAUAUAUUAAAAUAAUUCUUUUGAUAAUCAUAUAUAUAUUAUAUUAUAAUAUACGUAGGUUUUAGAUACAAUUUAUUGACGUGGAUGUUUGUAUGAACUUUUUUUUUUUUUAUCGAAACGUAAAAUAAUUUCUUAAAUUUUUUUUUUAAAAAAUUUAAUCUGAUUCAUAUAUUUUCAAUGUCAUUUUAUCUUAAUUCCUAUAAAAAAAAAGCCAAAUAUAAAGGUAUAAUCAUCAUAUUUAGUUAAUAUGACAUGGUAUUUUCACAUGAUUGUUCAAUUAAUCAUAUCGUCAUUUAUAAAAUAUAAAAAAUCAGAUCAAACAUAUAUCAUAUUUUUUACUUUACGCCUUCUCUGCUCUCUUCCUCUGCCCAUUAGAUUAAGUAUAAAUCUUAUUCAAGAAGUCAUUCAACACGUGUUACGUUUAUCAGGUAGGAUUUCUCUUGCCCAUGCUUAUUUCAUAUAUUGAUAGGUCAUGCCAUUAAAUCUCAUGGGUUGAUGACACUUAAAUGGACAUAUUGUUAUUGAUGAUUUGAAUGUUGAUUGAAAUUUUUUUUUAAAAAAAAUGUGAAUGGUAAAUAUAAAAUUUUAAGGUCACGGAUGAAAAUUAUUAAUAAUAUAAAAUUCAAUGCUAGUAUGGCAGGAGACCUCUAUGAUUAAUUUUUAUCCAUAUGGCUGAUUUAGGUAUGGAUAAUUAAGACUGCAAAAGCAUGGCAAUAAAACAUACAGAAAUGCAAUAAUGGUAAGACUUUCGACGUCAAUUCAAGGAAAAAAAAAAAAAGCGAAGCAUAAGCUUUCAGGUGAUCUUUCUGUUUUUUUACCCCUCUUUUUAUUGUCUUAUUAUUAUAUUUUUUUGUGCAAUUUGAGUAGGAUUUGUUUUUAUACUUGUGUUUUGAAUUAUAGGCUUCUUUCAUCCUAUAGAGCAAAUGGGGCAAAUUGCCCUUAUGUUCUGUUCUAUGCAUUUUGAACUUCAUUUGCGUCUUCCUUUGAAUUAUUAUAUUCAUCUUAUACUAUCUUUGAGUUUUCUUGCUAAUGGAUGGAUAUUCUUGGAGUUUUUUUUUUUUUUUUUGUUAACUUCUAUGGAACUAAUUUUGAACUCUGAUUAUUUAGGUGGGAAAUUUUGUCUACUUCAUUGGAGCGGGCUAAAUAAUAACUUCAGUUUCACAAUUCAACUUUGACGUGAAGUAUCUCUGUGAGUUGAUGAAACCAUGGCUGAUGAAGAAUGUCAAGACAAGUUACUUCUAUAUGUUCCAUCUUAAUGCUUAUGUCAGCAACAUUUUAGAUGUUAUGUCAUCUUAGUUUACAUAUAAUUGUUUAAUUAUUCACAUCAUCAUAACAUAUAUAUAUAUAUAUAUAGCAUAUUUAUUUGGUAUUUUAUCUAUUCUCUUCUCUCUUUUCAUAACAUAUAUAUAUAUAUAUAUAUAUAUAGCAUAUUAAGAAAUUUGAAGUGUCUUAAAGUAAUUAAUUAUAUGAUUUGCCUUAUUCAUGUGACCAUAGUUUCAUUGCUUUACCUUAUCUUAGUAAUGGUCUAAUGCCUCUAAUUAUGGUUGCGUGUGUCAAUCUUUCGACAUCUAUGGCAGCUCUUUGACAAUGAGUUCAUACUACACAAAAUAGCUGAACAUAACUCAAAACUUAACACUAAAAACUUAUGCCAACCUACUUUGCAAAUGUGUUAAGGCUAUAAAUAAACAAUAGCCAUUCUCUUCUAUUUCUUUUUCAACGUAUUUUCUCUUCAUUUUCUUUGAUUUCUGAUUGUUAGUUUAGAAACGAUGAGUUGAAUACUAUAACUUCCUUUUUCCUAAAUAUGACUUCAAAAUGAUGAAGGUUCUAUUAUAGGUUGCUAAUAAAAGAAAGGAACACAGUUCAGUAAGGAGUUGCACAACAACAAUCGACCAAAUGUGGAAGGGCAAAGUUACCGAGAUACAUACCAAAAGUGGCUCCAAUUUUAUUGAAGAUUUAACUAAAAUGUCAUUGCUAUGCCUAUGUACAUACAGAGAAGAAGAGCAAGAGUUAGUGUAGAAAUCCCAUUUUAUCUAGGAUCAUCUGAAAUAAUUUCAAAUUUGGAUACUUAGUUUCGGAUUUUUAUUCUCUAAUUAAAGUGAUCUUAAUUUGACCCAUUUAAGUUUUUGAAUUUACCGUUUGGGUGUUCGGUUAAUCCAUUCACUUUCGAAAUUUUAAAGUUUUAGGCUUGAUUUGGAUUUAAAACCCGAACCAAGUGUUUGGCCUGCUUUUUCUUUCACAAUUUAUAGUUUUCGUUAUUUGUAGUUGUUUAUUUUAUUUCAUUAAUUUUUUAAAUAAAUCGGGUAAAUGAACAUGAUAAGUAAUCUGAUUUUUAAAAAUUUUGGAUUUGAUUAGACUUGUGUUGAAGAUGAAAUUUCAAUGAUAAAGAUUAAAAAAGAUGAUGGAAGCAAAUCCUUUUUAACUGGGAAGUUGUUAUGAUUUUAAACCCUAUAACAAUCGAAACAAAUCUCUGUAUAAACUGAGCCAACCAGCAAAGAAAAAGGGACAAUUCAUGACGAGAAAACCCAUCAUCCCAGUUCUCAAUCCUAGAAAACCAACUUCCAGAAAAGAAAACUCCAAUCAUCAACACAUAACAAAAUUACCAUAGCCCGAAGCUCACCAAAGUUGCCCCUAGCCAUUAACAACUACAAUUCCACAACUGCCAUCCACCAAUUAUUGUAGCCUAUAACGAAGAACUUCCGAGAGUUCAUUCUCCACCAUCAGGAAAAGCCACUAUUUGUCAGCCCAAUACAUAAUUACUAGCAAAACUACACACUAUAGGAAUCCAGAAUUGUAAGAUCCACACCCACCAACCCAGCAAUUUCAUCAACACAGGCAUCCAAAAUCAGACAACAAUCCAAAAAACAGGGACAAGCACAAUAAGAGAUCCAGCCUCUAUCACAAACCACAAUUAGACCUCAAAACAAAGAAAAUUCAGGAAACCAUUCCCCACCACAACAACCAUCCAUUGCCGAGACCAGGUCCUACCACCACUUUCGAUUUCUCGUUGAACAAUCGCCCAUUCUCAGUUAAGCACACCAACGUUAGUCCAAGGAAAAAAUCAUAAUUAGAGACAAAAAAAUCAGAAACAUAAAACAAAAAGGAGACAAAAGAUAUAGAUGGGACCUUCUCUCUCUUCGAUUUUUGGUCCAAAACGUUUCAAAGAGAUUUGUGUCUCCAAGUUCAGUGAGGAGAAAGAUCCGAAGAAGAGAAAAAGCAUACCUUAAGCUGGCUACCAUCAGAACAACGAUGAAGGGUGGAGUCAUAAAAUAAACUUUCAGAUCUGUGGCAUUUGAGGAGCAUUUUCAAAAAAUCUAAGCUCAUUUUCGAGACGAGGAGGCCGAGAGGAAACGUUGGGAAAGUUUUGGGCUCAAAUUGACUCCGACCGUGGCGAUGUGCAGCGACCAAUGUCGGCAUAAAGACUAGAGCGGUGGCCGGGAAUCGUGUGGAUGGAGAGAAGCAGAGAAGCAUAGAAAUUGAAUUCCAAUAGAGAGAAAAACGAAAGAAGGCUGAAGGAAGAAAAAAAAAACUUGACGUUUAUAGUUUUAAUAAAACAACGACGUUUUGGGGUUUAAUGAACCUGAUCCUCCUAGACUUGCCAAGUGACUUGCGCUUCAACCCAUAAUCAACUCGAACUGUUUGUAAGUAUACUGGUAUUCACUUAGGAUUCAUUUGAAUAAAUCUUGUGCGACGAGAUUAAAAAUAUUAAUAAAAAUUAUUAUAAUUAUGAUUAUAAAAAAUUAUUAUAAUUUAAAAAAUUUUAUAAAAAAAUUUAUAUUAAAUAAAUUUUAUUAAAGUUGACAUUUAGAUUCGACUAGUGAGUUGAUGUCUAUGUUGCUUUAUUAUUAUUUUGUUAUCCUUUUAAAUUUCUUCAUUACAACAUGUUUUAAUUAUUUAUAAUUUAUAAUAUAAGACUAAUAAUUGGUUGACACAGUAAAAAAUAAUAUUUAAAAUUUUGAAUAUAGAUAAAAAUUAUCUAACGAAAUUAAAAAAAUCAAGAAUGAUUGAUGUUUUUUAGAAAUUUCUAAGCAAGAAGUUUUUCCUUAAAAUUUCUGAAAUGGUAGAAAUUUUAAGUAAAAAUUUUGAUAACAAGAAUAAUAAAAAUAAAAUAUCAUAUUGAGAAAUUUUUUUCAAAUGAUAGAAUAAAGUUUGGAAUUAAAAUCUUCCAUAAAUCCAAUGAUAAAAUUUUAAAAAAUCACAAUUGAAUAAUUUUUUUUAAUUUUUAAUUGAGAAGUUUUAUCAUAAAUAUUUUUUAAAAAGUAAAAAAUUUAGAUAAAAAUUUGAAAUAUAAAAAUAAUAUAUAAAAUCAAGAACAAAAAUAACAAGAAUGUAAUUCUUAAAAAUAAAUAAAAACUAGCCAAAUGAUGAAAUUUUAAAAAUUAAGAAUGAUUGAUUUUUUAAAAAUUUCCAAAUGAGAACUUUUAUUUUGCCAAAAUAGUGACAAGGUGAAAUAAAUUUUAAUAACAAUAAUUAACAGUUAUUUUCAAGCAUAAUUAAAUUGGAAUAAUAAGUUUUUGAUAAAAUAAAGUGAACCCAAUGAAACUCUAAAAGAUUAAAAAUGAUUGAUUUUUUAAAAAAUUUUAAAUGAGAAAUUUAUUUUCAAUUUUUGUCUGAAUGAUGGUAAAAUUAGAUAAAAUUUUAAUAAUAAUAUUUUUUUAAGCAUAGUAAAUAAUAGGGAUAGAAAUGUUAAAUUUUAGAAAUAAUAAAAAUAAAAUUUUGAAAUAAAAAAUAAAGUAAAUCCAAUGAUAAUUUAGAAAAAUCAAGAAUGAUUUAUUUUCUUAUAAAUUUCUAAGUGAAAAAAUAUUUUUAAAUAUUUUUAUAAUGGUGGAAAUUUUAAAUAAUUUUAAUAAAAUAAAUAAAAGAUGAUUAAUAAUAAAUUAAAAAAUAAAAUCCAUCAAUAAAAUCUCUUCAAAAGAACAAACAGACUUUUUGUACACUCUUAAGAUGAAAUUUUUUUUAAAAGUUCUACAAAAUGGUGAGGAAAACUUAAAAUUCUUUUUAUUAUGUAAAUGUUUAAAUAAAAAGAUCAAUUAAUCAAGAUUUUAAGAUAAUUUAAAAUUAAUUAAUACUAACUUAAAUAGAUUUUAUAAAAAUGUUGUAAUAUUUUUCACAUGAAAUAUAAUUUUUGCACUUAAUUUUAAAACGUAAACCAAAAACCUAUUUUUUGAAAGUCUUAAUCACGUUUAAAAUAAUCUUAAAAUGAUAAAUUCAUCAAAUAAUCAAUCAUAGAUAAAAAAUUUAAUGACUAUUCUUAAAAUUGUAUCUAUUGAUUAAAUUUUCAGAUUAAUACGUUAUUGACUAUUACAUAAAAAAAGGGUCAGUCAAAAUUUUGUCAUACAAAUGUCACCUAGAGAUUAACAAUCGAGAUAUUUAGGGGUGACAUAGCAAGAGGACAAGGACCAAUUUCAUUAUCACAGUCAAUCCACAGCCAGCUUCGCUAUUCAUGCAACCGCCCAAAUUAUUCAGCCUGAAAUCAAAGGAUAUUGUGUAAUUAGACACAUAGAUCCAGAGCCGUAAAAUUACAAGCAUGAACUGCUAAAUUCAACAAACUGAUGCGUCAACCAUCAUUAAUGCCAAAGUUGAUUGUUCACAGGCAAAUCACAUAUUCAAUCAUUGAAAGAUGUCGUGUUUUCAAAAUUUACUUGAUAAGUACAAUCCCGUAAUGUAUAAAAUUGACUCAACCAUCAUACAGUGCCCCGUAGAAAAAGGCUCAGCUUCCCAGUAAUAUAUUGACAAGCCCAUUGGGACAUGACAUGCCUCUUAAAUUUGGAUUACUGGUUUGUCAUCCCUAUACUCAUGGUGCUUGUAGGUCAGCUACAGCUCAAACUCGAUUGAGGUAGCACCUUUAGCCAGUGUCAGGCCUCCUAAAAGAAAGGCCAAUUGUCUGCAUAUUUUAUAGACUCCAAUAGCAAUUACUUGCAAAGGCUUCUUAGUCCACUAAUGUGGAUUACUAAAACUAUUUGCCCUUCCUUCGUCCAACUACGUUUUUUCAUUGCAAGACAUAAAACAGAAUUGCCAUGCAAUAAAAGGAGAAUAAUGGUCACUGAAAGAGUUUUUACCUAUCAGCAUCAAGAUGGCCAACUUGAAGAUAAUAGAAUGAUCUCUCCCGUAAACAAAAGCACUUGCCACAUUCCAAAUUGGAACUAUACAAAGAUAAGUUUAUGGUACUUAAAUGUUUACUGCCACAAAAAUAACAAUGGUUAGAAGCAACAGUAUGCCAAAGCAGAAAAUGAAGCAAUCAAAUAAACAACAAAGAGGACACCAACCUUUAGAGGGUAAAAAGCAACCUUGUUUCGAUCUCUACCAUUGUAAUUUUGCACCAAAUAUUACUUUACUAUAUUCUUUUAGCUCAUCUUGAUUAAUCCUAAGUAUAUACAAUGACAGGUACUACAGCAGUUGACCUGCACCAAUAUAAAUAACAAAGGUGAAACUCAAGGAAUACAAAAAACAAGUGAAAACAGAGAUAAAAACAAUGUUCUCUGAAUAUUUUUUUAUUAAAAAAGAAUCUUUAAAAAUAUAGAGGAAUCGAUAUGUACAAAGAAACCCACAUAAUCAAGACAUAAUCAUCUAAACAUAGAAAAAAAUAAAAGACCAGAAAUAUAAAUCCAACAAAUUAGGAAAUUUAUCCUAAUUUGAUACAUAAUUUGUUAACACUCCCUCUCAAGCUGAGAAUACAUAUUUUUCAUUCUCAGCUUGUCAACAAGAGUCUCAAAGCUUGGUUUACGUAGUCUUUUUAUUAGGAUAUCUACUACUUGUUGCUUUGUAGGAACAUAGGUUAUACAGAUCACUCCCAUAUCAAUCUUGUCUUUGAUAAAAUGCCUAUCAUCUUCCACAUGCUUUGUUCGUUCAUGAUGCACUGGAUUAUGAGCAAAACUUAUAGCAACCUUGUUAUCACAAUAUAGUUUCAUAGGGUAUUCAGCUGUUAUUUUCAAUUCUCCCAAAAGUCUCUUCAACCAAAUAAGUUUGCAAGUUCCUUAUGCAAGAGCUCUAAAUUUUGCUUCUGCACUACUUUGAGCAACAACAGACUGUUUCUUGCUCCUCUAUGUGGCAAGAUUAACCCAAACCUUUGUAAAAUAACCAGAGGAGGAUUUUUGGUCUUCAAUUGAUCCUGCCCAAUUUGCAUCUGUAAAUGCUUUCGCAUUUCUUUGUUCAUGCCAGGUGUGGCCUUCAAAUACUUUAAGAUUUGAUAUACAGCUUCAAGAUGCUCCUCAAUUGGAGAGUGCAUGUAUUGACUUACUACACUAAUUGUGAAGGCAAUAUCAGAUCUUGUAUGAGACAAGUAGAUCAGCUUUCCAACUAGUCAUUUAUAUCUCCACUUAUCUAUGGGAAUUCUUCCUUUCUUUUCAAGUUUCACAUUAAGCUCUAUAGGUGUAUCAACUGGUUUACAGCCAAGCAGACCAGUUUCCUUCAAGAGAUCAACCGUAUAUUUUUUUAGGGAACAAUAAUGUCAUUCUUGCUCCUUGCAACUUCCAUCCUUAAAAGUAUUUUAGUUGUUCAAGAUACUUAAGUUCAAAUUCUUUUCCAAUAGUCUUUUUUAACCUUUCUAUUUCUUCGGUGUCAUCACCUGUCAAUAUAAUAUCAUCAACAUAAACGAUCAAAAUAGUCUUUUUUUCAUGUUGUGAGUGUUUGGAAAAAAGAGUAUGAUCAGUUUGUCCUUGGCUAAAUCCAUGUCUCCUUACUGACUUUGCAAAACGAUCAAACCACAAAGAAACUUUUUCAGUUUACAUACCUUCCUGUCAUUAUUUACCCUUUUAAAGCUAGGAGGCAAUUCCAUAUAAACUUCAUCCAACUCCCCAUUCAAAAAGGCAUUCUUGACAUCCAUUUGGUGUAAUGGCCCGUAAAGAUUAGCAACUAGUGAAAGCAAUACCCUCGUAGUAUUCAAUUUAGCAAUUGGAGCAACAGUGUAGUCCACACCAAAAGUUUGAGUAAAUCCCUUUGCAAUUAUGCGGGCCUUGUGUCUUUUUAUUCCUCCAUUUGAAUUAUACUUAAUAGUAAACAUGCACUUACAUCCAACUAGUGUUUUUCCUCUAGGUAACUCCACAACAUCCUUUUCAAGGCUCUCAUCUCUUUAAGUACAGUAGCUUUCCAUUUUGAGAUUUUUAAAGCUUCAUGAAUAUUUUGUGGGAUUUUAAUACCUCAAUCUUUUCUAUCAUGGCACAAAAUGCAGUAGACAAAUGGUUGUAAGAUAAUUGGACAAAGGGUGUUAAGUGCAUGAUGUUACACCUUUCUUGAGUGCUAUAGGCAUGCCUAGAUCAUUAGGUAGAGUAUUCACUGGUGAUGGUGCGGCAAGCACAACAUUUUUUUAUUCAAAAUUUACUUUCGGAUCAGUAUUCACUAGUGAUGGUGUUGUAGGCUUAGCAUUUUCUGAUUUAGAAUUUACUUAUGGAUCAAAUUCUUGACAAUGCGGUUGGGGCACAAAAGUUUGUACUUCUUAAGGCUGUGGUUUACAUCAUGAAUAAACACGGAGUUCUGUUUUUUGUUGAGGACUAAACAUAGAUGAAUCUGCCCUUGUUUCUACCUUAGCUUCUGUUGGUGACACAAUAGGAAUAGUAGAUGUUAUAGGAAGUGGAAUGGAAAAAUCCCAAAGCCUAUCUUCACCUGGUAUCUUCCCCUGAAGAAUUGGUUUUGGGUAAAAAAGUUGACUUUCAAAGAAUGUGACAUUUAAUGAGAUAAAUAUUUGUUUCGUGGAUGGAUUAUAACAUUUAUACCCUUUUUGAGUAAAAAGUACCCAGUAAAGAUACAUUUUACAGCUCUAGGUUCUAGUUUCCCACGAGAUAGACUUUUAUUGUGAACAAAAAAUGUGCAACCAAAGACUUUUGGGGUAAAAAACUAAACCUAGUUUGUGGAUGUGAUUUAAGUAACAUGUUUAAUGGUGUUUUGAAAUUGAGAACUCUACUAAAAAAUCUAUUGAUCAAGUAUGAGGUUGUUAAAAUAGCAUCUCCCAAAAAAACUUAGAGGCAUUAUUUGUAAACAUGAUAGCACGAGCAACUACUAAUGAAUGACAAAUUUUAUAUUCUGCAACCCCAUAUUGUUGGGAGGUGUUAACACAAGAAUUUUAGUGAAAAAUCCCAUUUUCUUUUAAAUGAUCACCAAGAAUUGAAGAAUUCCCUCCCAUUGUUUGUGUGAAAAAUUUGGAUUUGAGCUUGAAAUUGUGUUUGAAUCAUUUUGUGAAAUUGCUGAAAAAGUACCUUAGCAUUAGACUUAAGUUUUAAUAAGUAAACCCAACAAGCUCGUGUGUGAUCAUCUAUAAAAGUUAUGAACCACCUAGUUCCAGUUAUGUUAUUUUUCUAUGAAGGUUCCCAAAUAUCACUAUGAACUAAAGAAAAAGGUUUAGCAAAUCUAUAUGGAUAACUAAGGUAAGGAGCAUGAGUGUGCUUGACAAGUUGACAAGUUUCACAAUGAAAGGAAUGGACAUCUUUAUUCUUAAAAAGGGUAGGUAAAAGAGUUUUUAAAUAUGGAAAACUAGGAUGUUCUAAUCUAUUGUGUCAUAACAUAAUUUUACUGUAAACAGAAACAGAAACAAAUUGACCACUUAAAGCCAAAACUUGUUUAUUUACUUGUUGAGGAUCCUCAAGAUAGUACAAGCCUUUAUGCUCCUUAGCAUUACCAAUUAUCAUCCCUGAAAGUAAAUCCUGAAACUCACAAUAUGAAGGAUAGAGCUUAGACACACAAUUCAAAUCCUUUGUCAAUUUACUGAUAGACACUAAAUUACAUGCUAAAUUAAGAACAUGCAAGACUGAAAAUAGUGUCAUAUUAGAAACUUUAAUGCUUGUUUUUUUAGCAACAGAGGAUAGUGAUCCAUCAACAAUAUGAAUUUUAAGGUUUCCAGGACAUGGAUUAUAUGUUGAAAACAAUUAAUGGCAUCCAACUGCAGCUAUAUUUGUUCUAUAUUUUUAAGAGAAAAAUAUUUCGUGUUGAUGUUUUAUGAAUUCUGAUUGUUGCAGGUUUCUAAGACAUUUGGUGAGGGAAAAGUUUCCUUCGAGGAAUACGUUUUCACUAUAAAGAAUACAGUUGGAAUUGGUCUCCUCAUGGAAGCUAUAGGUAUUGGCAAAGGAAAGCAAGAUCACACUGGCAAUGCCAUGGAAGAUCCAGUUAAAAGUCAAUCACUGUGCUUCUUUUCGUCCUGAUAUCCAGUUUUGGCAAAAGCAUGUUCUGCUUUACAUCAGCAGAUUUAUCAAGUUUCUAACAGCGAGAUUUCAGGUUGAGCAAAGCUAGAUCCAGCGAUCUUUUUUGGGAAGCUGUUGGCCUCGCCUUUAUACAGAAGGUUGGCACUCUGAACAGCCAAAGAUCAGGUUCUUUCAGUUCAAAUAUUCUCUGGUGUUUCUUAAUCUGGUGUUUAAGAAGUUUUCAAAAAACUAGUGAAGGUACCACUAUUUUUGAUUCUGUUAGUGAUGUUCAUUAAUAAAGUUCAACAACCAUUAGAGCUUGAAAUUGAAUAAGGCAGUAAAAACAAGAUAUAAGUGGGACCAACAAUAAAUACAAGAAAUCCUGAUUUUUAUGUCAAGUAUAAACGUAUUGUUACCUCAAGCCAACGAAAUUCUGGUUGCAAUCGAGAAUCUAAUGAAGUUUAACAAUUGUAGACACUAGUUUGGCCAAGGGGCUGAAACGGUCCAAGGUUCCGAGAGCUGAGAAGCUUACCCUCUUGAAGCUACUAGCUUCUCACCCCCUCUAAGCAUUUCCAGUGAUUCUGAGGAGGAUACAUCUGAUGACUCAGAAGAUGAAGCUGGAAGAAAAUAGUGCGCUUCACAUGCUUGCAGAAGCCAUGGCUUGACGAGGGAGAAUGUGGUGGACUUAUCAGAAUUGUGUAACAGUACUUCAAAUACUGGUAAUUCCCACACCUCUGCAUACCAGCAUUAUAUCAAGUGGAAAAUCAUGAAAGCCACCACACAAGUCUGCUUGCAUUGAUGGGGGCAAAAGGGUUGGUGAAGUAUAAUUUCGUCCAAAAUGUUCACUCUAGUGACUCAAAAUAUUUGGCUCCUGUUAGUAAAGAGCAGGGUUUAACUGAUUGCACCAAUGGAGAAUCAAGUUUUAGUGUUGAAAACAUUUCUGCUGCCAGGAUGUUAAAUGAAGACACUUCGCACUGUAGGUCUAACUCAUCUGAUGCUUGUGAAGAUAUGGUUUUUCAAAUGGGAUCCCAAGACUUGUCUCCUGCCAGUUCUUUGUCUAAAGUCCAUCGUGAUGAGGGAAAGGAAGGCAAUGUCACUGCCUGCAUAGACAAGAAUCUCCGAAAAUGACUCGGUUGCAUACAUUGAUAGACUUGAAUGUUCCUCAAGUUUCAAUGGAUUUUGAAACCAAUGGACCCUUCGUCACAGAGACGGUGAAAAACAGUGAGAAUUCAAGUGCACAUAUAUCAUUCUUUCAGUCCGAAAUUCCGCUGCAGCCUGAGCCAUUGAAGCUUCCCAAUAGAGGUGCAGAGGUCAAUCAGCAUCCUAUAAUGCACAAUCGGAGGCAAAGUACUAGGAAUCGACCAUUAACCACAAAAGCAUUAGAAGCUCUUGAAUGUGGGUUCUUCAGUCCCAAGAGGAAGAGAAAGGCUGCAGAGGCUCUGCAGAAUAACUCACAGAGAGUUCGUGGGAGACCUGUUGUUAGUUCCAUUUUUAGAAAUGGUGCAAGUAACCCCAACAUGGAGGAGAAUUAGGAUGGUUUCUGCAGUGUGAAGAAAUAGCCAGUCCAGUCUCUAAUCUGAAUCUGAUACAUGGAGAAAUGAGCGAGCUAAUUUCUUAGCUAUUCCUGGAAAAACCAUGUAUCCCACCAUGUCCUCCAAAGCAUUGUAUUUUGGGUGCUUUUGAUUUUUCUAGUCAAUAAUUGGGAGACCUAAUGUCUCCUUAGUCAUUCUAGGAAAACACAACACCCAUUCACCCAACUAGCUGCAGUUUUUUGAUCAAUGUAAGGUGAAAAAUAUGUAUCACACAUGUUCAUCUUACAUAAGUCAGACAAAAUCGAUGGUGCAACAACUGGUUAUAAUUUCAGAAAGGCGAGGCGGGGAAACAAUUCCUUCAACUGGAUUAACCUUUUCCAGCGUAGGAACAAUUGACAGCAGGUGGUUCUUACUGUCUUUUUCUAGAUAAUUGACUUCCAAACGGUAUUCCUUAUAGGGUUUGACUGCUGAAUGUUGCUAAUGCCAACCUUUGAUCUUGAUGAAGAUGAUCUUUUUUUUCCAGUUAAUUUAUCUUUGUAUAAACGUGUUGUCCUCAAAAAAUGGAUAAAGCAAAAAAAUUUUUUAUACCUCCCUAAGAUUUUCAAUUUAACAAAGUUGUCCUAUUGCGACCUUUUUUUUGUUUUUGUCAAUUUAAAAGAGUAUGAGACUCAAGAUCAAUAGCACUUGAAGUAUGUAUUAUUAUGUGAAGUAAAUUUGAUAAUUUUAAAUACAAUACAAUUAUACGAUACAAAUAUAAAUAUGUAUGAAAAUAAUAUAGUUUAAAAUUUUAAUAAAAAUCGUUUAUAGGUUUAGAAAAAAUAUAAAAAAAAUGUUUCAUAUUUAAUAUAUUGAUGCAAAUUAUCAUAUAAUAAUUUUUAUAUUUUACGUAUAUUUGAUACGAAAUAAAUAUUACAUAAAUAUAUAAAUUAUCAAAUCUAUAUGAAAAUGAAAUCUUCAUUAAAGUGAAAUGAAGCUUAACAAUGUGCAAGUCAAAUUGCACGUAGUCUUUGAUUGAUGCUAUAUUCAUUAGGAAUAGGUUGGUCGCAUUGCUUGGUUUGUUAUUCCCCAUUUCUUUCUUUUAGUUGUCUUAUUCGGAACAAGAGGAUGGCAUUACCAUUGCAGGAUAUCAUCUAUGAGUUUUGCUCUGGAGGCAACUUAUUCACAGGCAAAAAAUAAGCACUUGAAGCCAGUAAAAACACAGGGAAAGCAAACGUUCAAUCAAUCAUACUCACAGUGCCAAAAUUUUCUUCACUUGCAUGUUACCCACCAAAGAAAAAGGGAACAAAAGGAAAAUAAAACCAUGUAAAAGCAAUCUUUCUUGGGAAAUUUCCUCCUAAAUCUAUUACAAAUUUUCCCCUGGGAAAAGCACGUGCAUUCUAUAGCUAGUUUGCAACAUGCAUGAUACCUAAAAAUUAUUGAAAUUAAUUUUGUUAAGUUUUAAAUAAGAAAGUGUGAAUUAAAGUGAGUAAUUAGAGAAAAUCCAAGAACACAAAAUUUACGUCUACCCAAUAUCGAGUUAUCAAAUGGUUGCAGAUCAUUGCUGCAUACACAUUAAUUCCAAACGGGUGAAAAGAAGCCAUGUUUUCCAGGAGGGAAACCACUACUUGAAUUAUACAACUGGUGAAAUUUCAUUUGUUGAAAUUUUUGUCAUAGAUGGACCAAGGGACCCACUUCAAUAAGCCCGGUGGUGAUGAUGAAUUUGGAUUCCAAAAGAUUUUCUUCCUCCUUCCAUUUAAUCUCCAUCAGUGCUACAGUGAUUGGCAGAGUUGAUCCUAUAAUUCAAGUUUUUUUAAAAAAUCCCCAAUGGGUAAGAAUUUGAAGCAAAAUACGUUUGGUAAUUAGCAUGAAGGAAAAAAGAAAAGUAAAGAAUUUAAAGCUUAAUCUAAUUAAUUUAUAUAAUAAUUUUUUUUCAAUCUCCAUACUGCUGUUUUCUUUAUAUAAAAAAAGUAAGCAAUUAAAUGUGAAGUAAUAUUUAUUUUAUAAACUUCAGCAUUUGCCUAAUUAAAAUUGUAUCUAAGUGAUUCCUUUAUGACUUCCAAAUUUUUUUCAAAGAAAUUAUGUGCUUAAGGAAAAAAAUUUGAGUAAAAAGUGACCAAUCUUUUUUUUAUUAUUAUUAUUUAUAAAUUUCAGUCUGGGACCAUUAUGAAAACUACGUUCUUACCCCUUUAACCACACAAAAUGAAACAAAUUCUUUCAAAUCCAUCCAAUUUGCAAUAGUAUUGAACAUUGACCAUUACCAGACAUAUAAUAGACAAGAUUCACACUUGAUGCACCACUAAAAUGUUUUUUUAAAAAAAAAAAAACACGUCCGUUUCAACAACCAAUAGAAAAUUCAUUAGUUUUUCCUUUUUUAGGUCGAUCAAACAUCAUUUUCAUGAGAGAAAAUACUUCAAAAGGAACACUCAGGGUAAAGAAUACCAGACCAUGGCAGUCUUUUCUGUUUCUUUUAUCCAUGGGGUUACUUAGCUUAUGUCAAUUACCAACCUCGUUCCUUCUAAAUUAUUCAGCAUUUCUGACAGUCCAUCAUCUGAAAGGUGCUUCGGGUCGUCUUUUAUAUUCGAUUUUGCCAUAAAAUAAUCAAGAAAUCAUGCCAGUGUUACAUUUCUGUCUUCACAUUGUUGUUUGAUGUUUGCUUCGUAAAUUAUAUCUAUCCGUCAUCGAUGAUAACUAAGCAAUUCUAUUUGUCUUGGUCUUGACUAGUAGUUUGUGAUAAGAGCAAAAAUGGCUGCCAAAUUGCCGGUUCACCGCAUAUGUCUGCAACAGCAUCGCUACAGAAAGCAUUCCAAAUAUGUGCAGCUGCAAGUAAUAGUAUAAAUUCUCCCAUGAUGCACAAAAGCUUUGCUGGUACCAUGGCAGGUCCUGAACAGUCCAUUAGACCACCAUCUUUUGGAGGAAUUCAGUAGCGGAACACAUCUUACGGUCAUGCUUUCCAUCACAUUAUGAUCAGUCAAGCAUGGUUGGGAUCAGCGGGGGAGGAUUCUCCAACCCGCUCAUGCCAAAAAGCCCCAAUGAAAUGGCCCGACUUUUUAGUUCUGCCACAGGAAGCUCAGCAAUGAAUGAUAUGGCAAUUUUCACUAACAUGUUGAUUAACGGAGCUGACCAAAACCACUGCUUAAUGAAAGCCAUGGAACAUGAAGGUAAUGGUAACUCUAAUUUGUUAAAGGGAAGAACUCAGGCGAUAGAAAGGAACCAUCAAUAUUUGGAUCAAGCAGUGGAGGAAGUAACAUGACGACCCUUGAUUUUAUGGGGAUUGGAGGAUCAAGGUCAGCCAAUUUGCGUGAACAGUAGCACCAGCGGCAAAGAUUGGAAAUGGAAGCAAUAAGCCAAAAAAGAUUGCCAAUGAUAAACCCUUUCCAGCAACAGCGCUCACAGGGGGAUUCAGCUCUUGGAAAGGCCAUCUGGGGAUGUCUGAGAGCAACAGGUUUUUUUGUUACUUUUUGCUGUCAGCUGUCCCUGGAAGAUUUUCUUGCUCUUGAAUGGUGACAAUACUGAGAUGGCCACUUCGGCAUUGGAUAGAAAAUGGGUUUCACAGGGUCCACACUUACAGACCCAUCUAUCUAUCAUGAAACAAUGGGCAUUGAAUUUUUAAAUUCAUAAAUGACACAGUGCCCAAUGGGAGAGCCGUGUGUGGUCACGAUUCACGAAAUAACGUGGUCUCCACUCCUUCAGGACGUUUUUCUUCGAAGUAUCAGACAAAUAUGAAACUCCUUUUGUUUUGUAACCAAGAAGCCACCGCCAAUUUGGAUUGAGAAAAAGAAAGGCUGAUAAAAACUCACUUGACUGACUUGAGUAAGUUAUGUAAUCCUAAAAUGCAGAAAUAUGUUUAGAAGGGAAAGUGUUUUCCAUAAUGCCCCAUCGUCCUUAGUUCUUAUUUUUAUCUUUGUCUAGUCAAAAGGAAUACGAAAUAUUUCAUCCUAUCUAAUUUCUGCUUUUACCCCCCAAAGUAAAGAUCAAUCAUUUCCUUACUUUUGUUCCACAGGCUGGGAUUAAUUGCUAUUUUUUUUCUUUUCCAUUUUUCAAGUCAAUUUUUUAUGAAAUUAAUUUCAUUCAAAAUAGGUUACAUCUAACUAGGAAUCUUACGAUAGCUCACUCCCAUACAGUCAAACAACUACCUUAUUGUCGUUGAACUAGAAUUCUUAACCUCUUUCUCUUCCCAGUAAAAUACUCAUUUUCUUUACUUAAGCUUCUACCAUAAAAUUAGAGUUAACAAUCUUGUAAAAAUAUUGAAUUUCAUAUUCUUAUGAAAAAAAUAAAUAUAAUUAAAUUUUAAAAAAUAAAUUUAUAUUUAAUAAUUCAAUUACACAACAUGGAUAAAAUGUACCAAAAGUACCCAAAAAAAAAAGAGUGAAUAAAACUAUCAAUGUAUGGUUUCUCGUCAAAAUGAAGUGAAGCCUGAGGCCGAGCCCAUAAUUUCAAAACGGAAUCCUUUAAAGCCCAAAUAAAGCAAUGGCGAAAAGCCCAAACCAGUUAGAUAUCAACCGAGUCUAGUAAACACGAGUAGACUCGUAAUAAGGUCGGGCGCGCCCCUUCUCUCCUCUCAAUAGCGGGUGAAAAAUCCUAACCCUAGCCCUACUUUAGAUUUUUCUGUUUAUACGCGACAGCGAAGGCCAACACCGCAGCUGAAGCCAAUGCUAUGAAUUCGCUUCUUUUUUGCUUUUUUGUAGAUCCUUUAAUGCAUCUCAAUCUCUCCUCUUCCUCUCAGAGGCAUACCAAUUUUGGCAUUGAUAAGUUUUUAAAGCUUUGAUUUUGGUUUUUUUUGUUUUUGAAUGAUAAACGAGUGAAGGCGGUGAUGUUGAAAACUACCUAUUUUACGAAGGGUUUUUACGGCUUUUGUGAUUAGAGAAUCAGCAAUGGAUACUUCUGAGCCUUCUUAUCUUAUUUUGUUCAGUCUUAAUUUUUUGAAAUUUUUUUUUAAAAUUAUUGAUAGGUUAAUUUCGUGAAGUCGGAUUCAGAGUGAUUGAAAUGAUGAUAUCUUAUUCUCUGAAAAAUAUAAUGUGGAUUAAAAAAAUCAUACUAAAAUUAUCUGAUCAUUUGGCUCUCUAUUCCUCGUGUCUCUUUAUUUGCCUGUCUAUUUGCUUUUCUCUUUUCUUUAACAUUUUAGUAAUUCUUCUUGGAUUUUUUUUUACUGAAUUUUCUCACAAUAUUUUGCUUUUAGAAGGCAAAGUUUUAUAAUUCAGACUUCAUAAACAAUCAAACACUGAGAAAUUUUCAUCUCAUUUGCAUAAAGUACAACAACCAACCAAACAAGAGAGAUUUUCGCAGAAAAAGGUUGUAAACGAUGUUAUGGAAAUUUCAGUAAUUUUGCUUUUACAGAUACAAUGGCAUAAUCAAGAAAUUAAAAUUUUUUUUACAUAACUAAAAAUUUUGGCAUAACGAAUAACUUUUAUAUAAUGAAAUAUUUAUCGACAUAUUUAAAUUUUAAAAUUUUUAUUUAAAUUAUAAAUUUAUUAAUUAAUAUGAUAUUUUAAUGAUUAUUUAUUUGUUAAGUGUCACUCUUUGAAGUUAAAUGGAUGAGUCAAAUUAUGAUAAUGGCUCAAGUAUUCUAACGAAAUCUGAAAAUUAAUCUCUUUAUUAUAAUUAAUAAAAAUAUAAGUUUUGUAUUAUUUUUAUUUAAUAAUUUUAGUCAAUCAUUAAUUUAAUCAAAAUUUUAUUUUAUCGAUGCAAUAAUAUAGAUAAAUGAAAUCAAUUGUUAAGUUGUUUAAAUAGUUUAUAUGUUCACACGAAAUUUAAAAUUUAAUUUUUUUCAUAUACUUCAUAAAAAUUCUAUCUUCAUACAAAUUAAAUUUGAUAAUAUCAAUUCAAUUAUUAAUAUGAUCAAAAUCUAAAUUUUGGUUCCUCUUUUUAAUUUUAUUGCCUAACAAUUUUUAUUUUAGAAAAAAUUUAAAUUAAAAAGUCUUUAAAAUUUUUUUAAAAAUUUAAAAAAUUAAAAAUGAUAAAAUAGUAAAAAAAUAUAAAAAUUUUAGGUCUUUUCAAAUUUUUUGAAAACAUUAAAUUAAAUAUUUUCUAAUUUUUUAUUUUUAAAAAUAAUAUUUCUUGAAUUUUUUUGAAAAAUAAGGUUUAAUUUUAAAAAAGUUCAAAUUUAUGGAUUAUUUAGAAUUUUUUUUCAUUUUUAAAAAUAUUAAAUUUAAAUAACAUUAAAUUCAAAUAAUAUUUCUUUUAUUUUUUUAAAUUUCAAAUUUCAAGUUUUAAAAAUAUUUUUAAUUUUUAGAACUUAUUAAUUUUUUUACAAUAUUAAAUUUAAUUUUUUCCAAUAUUUUAAUUUUCAAAUAUUAAAUUUAAUAUUUAAAAAAAUAUAAAUUUUCCUAAAAAUUACAAAAUUUUAAAUUUUUUUAAAAAAAUUCUAAUUUUAUUAAAGAAAUUCAAAAUUAUUAAUUUUUUAAAAAAUAAAUACUUAAAAAUAUUUAAAAUUUUCUAAAAAUUGAAAAUUAUUUUUUUAAAAUGAAAUAUGUUUUUCCAUAAAAAUUUAAGAAAUAUUAUUUUUAAAAAAAGUAAAAUAUUAAAAAAUAAAAUUAAUUUUUAAAAAAAUAUAUAAAUAAUUGAAAAUUAAUUAUUUUAAAUUUGAAAUUCGGUUGUCAAAAAUUUUCAGGAAAUAUAUUUUUUCAAAAAAUUUAAAUGUUUUUUUUAAAAAGCUUAAAAAUCAAUUUUCUUAAUUUUUAGAGUUUUUAAAAUUUUUUACAUUUUUUAAAAAAUUUUGAAGAUGUUUUUUAAUUUUAGAUUUUUUUUUAAAAAUAACGAUCACGUCAAUAAAAUUAAUGAAAAGUAAUAUAUUAGUAAUUAGAGUGAUAUUAUAAAAUUUAAUUUGUAUAAGAAUAAAAUUUUUAUGAAUUAUAUUAAAAUGAUUAAAUUUUAAAUUUAAUAUAAAUAUUAAAAUUAUUUACAUAAUUCAAUAAUUAAUUUUAUUAUGCCACGAAUUUGUUUUAAUAAUGAAAAAAAUUUGUUUGUCAUAAAAAAAAGUUAAAAAAAUAUAAUAAUUUAAAGUCAAAGUUUUAAAAUAAUUCUAAAAAAAAGAAUAAUAGAUAAUGUUUAAAACAAUUUCAAAAAAAUAAAGGAUAAUAGAUAAUGUCCGAGUUACAGCAUAACAACUGGUGUGGACCCCUGACAGUCUAAUGACAUAAUUGAGAUAAAAUUUAAGAGCCCUUUGACUUGUUCAAUAUUUGGUACACCAGAUUAGUUUGUUCACUGUAUAUAAAUGUAAGAGGGUCAGCUGACCGCAGACUACAGCUGAAAAAAGUUUAUUCAUUUCCAAACAAGGACAGUAGAUUGUCAAUACAACAAAUAAAAAGAAUUAUACUUUUGCUUCUUGGAGUGCAUAUGAUAAUAAUACCAAAUCAAAUGUUUUUGGUUUUGGGUUGAAUUUUUAUCAACUUUAAGUAGAAAAUACGAAAAGUUUUUUUUUUUUCAUGGGAUAUGAAACAUAUAAAUAUUUCUUUCAUUUUUUUUAAUUCAAGUUCACAAGUACAAUAUAUCUAUAUAUUGAUUGAAACUUGUAUCAUUAAAAGUAUAUUUAUAAAAAUGAAUAAUUAUUAAAUAAACAUAAAACAUUGAUAGAAACUGUUUUAAUGCAAUUCAAGUUACCUUUCUAACAAUUAUCAGCUUUGGAUUUAAUACUGUCAGACUGCCAGGUGGAAGUCUGGGAACACCGAUAACAAAUUGGCAAAAGGCUCGCUGCUACUCUGGUGUAAAUUCCCCCAUAAUUUCAAGUAACUAUAAAAUCAUAAAACCAACAUAAUUAUGGAUCAAAUAUAGAUUUUAAAAUACCCAAAUGAGAGUCUUAUGAAAGAAACAUACAUUUAAGAUUUCAGAGGUCUUUGCAGUAUAUCCAUGAUCUAACUUUAUAUGAUCGGAUAGUGUCUCAGCUUGCAUUAUUAGAAGUUAUAUUGUUAAAAUCAAAGUGGAUAACCAGUUCUAAUCAAAGAAGUUAGCAAUAUUAUCACACAAUCCACCUCCCACAACUAUUUGCAACCACACAUCAAAUAGUCCAACUCUCGGGGGGUAAAUAUUUGUAAUGAUGCGAUAUCAAAAACCUACUUGCCAUAUAACAAAUUUAUUAACAUUGCAAUGAAUCCUAAAAUAGCUCCUUAAUUCAAGUAAGUAAAAAGAAAUCAACGAUGAACAUCAAACUUGUGAUCAGUCAAAGAAAAAUCAUAAUAAAGAAAAGCAACUUGGCCUGAUUGAAUCCAGCCUAAAUGCCUCUUAUUUUGCAACAUAAUUCCAGCCUCGACAGUUACAUCAACCACAAGGAUAUUAUUCUUCUAAGUUAUUGAUAUCAACCUGAUGUAGUUUGAACAAAAUGUUAGAAUAAUCUAUUGACAAAAAAAGAGGUGAGGAAAAAAUGAGAAGUUGAAAGUAAAAUUUCAUCCCCCAGCUUCAAUAUGUAGGUAGGAUUAACUGAGUGUAAAAAUAAAAUAGAAUUAUAUGAUCCCAUUGAAGCAUUAAGCUAUCCGCAAUCUAUAUUUGUACCACUCCAUUGUUCUCUCAACUCAAUGCAAAAUAUUUGGAAAAUAAAAACCAAAAAAAUCAGUUAACAAAAUUGAAUAUUAAAAAGAAAACAUAUAUUUUUAAUUACCAUCCUAUAAGAAGAUUGAGAUAACUCAGAAAUAACUCAUACAUCUACAACAUGCAAGAAACUUAAUUGCCUUAAUCAGAUUAUAAAAUUUAGUACUGACCACUUGAAAUUCAUAAACUUCUUUAGCUCUACUCUUCUCCAUCCCUAGCAUCUCUUUCUUCAGCAAAAACUGCCAUUAAUUCAUCAAAAUUUUUUGUCUUCUCCAAUAAUAUCUCGAUAUGAGAAAAUAAUAUAAAAACAUAUCUAUCAAUACCCAAGCUAAGAGGAAAGAUAAAACUUAGUAUUACAAUGACUAUAAUAUUUUGGUUAAAUCAGCACUAAUAACAGGUUGUGUUAAAUAAAUAAAAAUUUAAUAUUGAAUUCUCCUAUAUCACUUUUAAACUUUAACUUUAUCUAUAAAGAAUUAAUAUAUCUCAGCUUGCAAAUAAACCAUGGAACAUUCAAAAGGAAGCAUGAUGAGCUAUUAAGCCGAUUUACUUUUGCUUUUUGGACAGGCCACCCUCUAGAGUCCUCUUUCAUAUCAACCGUUAAGAUUGUAAUCUUUACAAAGCUACAGCUUGAUUGCAAUAAUUAUCAAAACUCAAUGGCUAUAUAAACACAUUUUUUAAAUAAAUUAAAAAAUAAAAAAAGUGAAAAACAUCUUACUCUACUCAACAACCAAACCAUUGUUUUUCAUAAUUUCUCCAAUUAUGAUGACUGUUGCAAUAACUGCAUAUAUGACAUGAUAAAUAAAAAGAAUAAUUAACAGUAUUUCUCAAAAAGUAGCAUACAUAAUUGAUUUAGGUUUCAUCUAUGAAUAAUUAAGUCCAAAAAUAAAUUCUAAGCAGCACCACCAGAAAAAUUAAGUCACAAACACUUUAUACUUGAGAAAAACAAAGUUGAGAAAAGCUUUAAAGCAAAGAUAUUUUGGAUAAAAACUGGAGGCAACUGGAAACCAAGCAAUUGUAAAAACUUCUGUGCAUUUAACUGAAAAUCAAGAUCAAUGGCAACAAUGAAAGUUUAUGAUAAUGAUACCAACCUUCAUUACUUAAACAUAAAGAAUUUCUAACAUGUAACAAAUUAGGAGCUUGUAUAACAAUAAAGUAAAAAUAUAUGAUUAGAACAACAAAAAACAUUUCAUGUUAGUACUCUUAUAAUUCGAUGAUGCUAAUGAAAAAAAAAAGAUACAUUAACAGCAAUGAUCAUUUGGAUUGAAAUAAAAUAUUAAACAAACUAAAUUGUUCAAUUUAAGGAAAAAAAAAAAAGAAAACCAAAGAGCCAGAAAAGGUUUUUAAAAAGACACUAAUUUAAGGCAAUAUGAAAAUUAAGAGAAAAAAAUGGAAAAUUUCCCUUAAUAUCCUAACAUUCCCCAAUAAACAAUAUAUAUAAAAACCAUUUUGAAUCCCAAAAAUAAAGUCCUAUACAAAUCCAAUAUCAAUCACGUAUUCAUGUCUUUACAAUAAAUUCAUCCCAAAGAAUAUAAUCCAAGGUACUAUCAAAUGUCAAGAACAAACCCAAAUUAAAGGCACUAAAUAAUAUCUUCUUGAUUGAACAACUCAUUGAAGCAUUAAAUCUUGUAAUCAAUAUAAUAUAGGAUGAUAUAUGCAAGGAUGAGUUAUGAGGUGCUGAGAGAUUUCCUGUUUGUUUAAUGGUACAAUGAACUUCAUUUUCUAUUUUAUUCUAGCACAGUGUAGAGGAAAUUACGUGAGAUAUAGGUAGGCAGAAAGUACAGACUGCUUGAUUGAAAUAUAAAGCCUUUAGUCUAUGAGAAAUUACAGAUUCAGUAGAAUCAUGUUCUUUGAAGUUUGAACAAAGGGUUUGCCAAACAUGUCUCAUAUCAACAACCCUCAUUCAUCUAAAAUCAGUAAUAUAUGCUUCAAAUUUCACUUUUCCAAUCUCCAACCAGUAAUUGCAAAUAUGAAUAAUCAUCAUGAAAAUGGUGAGUAAGUAACCGCAGGUAGAAAAUUAACGCAUGAAAGAAGCAAAGCAUAAACAAAAUUAGAUGAAUAAUCUCAAGGAAGCAUAAAUUUAACAUAAAUUUCAAUUUAAAUAGAAAAUUUCAAUUUGUAUUACUUACUCAUCAAAGCAUUUGAAAUCCUCAUCCUUGAAGGGAACUAUUCUAGCCAUUUCACAUUCUGAUACCUGUGAAGUAAAGUGAAGGGAUUUGGCAUCUUAAUCAGAAAGAAUAACAAUUUCCAUUUGAAUUUUAGUGAUGAAAUAUAGUAUUAGAACUAUGGUGGACUCACGAGUUCAUUAAUGUUUCAAAUUUCAACUCCUCCAUAACCCACCAACAUAAUUCAAAAUGCAUGAAAAAGAAACCCAUAAAACAAAUCAUCAAAAGAAUUAGUCAACAUUAUUAAAUGAACAUAAAACAUUGAUAGAAACUGUUUCAAUGCAAUUCAAGUUACCUUUCUAACAAUUAUCAGCUUUGGAUUUAAUACUGUCAGACUGCCAGGUGGAAGUCUGGGAACACCAAUAACAAAUUGGCAGAAGGCUCGCUGCUACUCUGGUGUAAAUUCCCCCAAUAAUUUCAAGUAACUAUAAAAUCAUAAAACCAACUUAAUUAUGGAUCAAAUAUAGAUUUCAAAAUACCCAAAUGAGAGUCUUAUGAAAGAAACAUACAUUUAAGAUUUCAGAGGUCUUUGCAGUAUAUCCAUUAUCAAACUUUAUGUGAUCAGCUAGUGUCUCAGCUUGCAUUAUUAGAAGUUAUAUUGUUAAAAUCGAAGUGGAUAACCGGUUCUAAUCAAAGAAGUUAGCAAUAUUAUCACACAAUCCAAGUGUCAAAUUACCUCCCACAACUAUUUGCAACCACACAUCAAGUAGUCCAACUCUUGGGGAGUAAAUAUUUGUAAUGAUGCGAUAUCAAAAACCUACUUGCCAUAUAACAAAUAUAUUAACAUUGCAAUGAAUCCUAAAAAUAGCUCCUUAAUUCAAGUAAGUAAAAAGAAAUCCACGAUGAACAUCAACUUGUGAUUAGUCAAGAAAAAUCAUAAUAAAGAAAGCAACUUGGCCUGAUUGAAUCCAGCCUUAAAUGCCCCUAUUUGCAACAUAAUUCCAGCCUCGACAGUUACUCGUAUAUAAUUACUUCCCCCAUUCCUUCUCCGAUUAUACUUUCUUUAGCGCUAGGCUUAGGGUUUAUUUUUCAGAAGUGCUCUCAAUUUCGAUCGUAUUUCUGGUACGUACUUUCCUAUUUUUUGAGCUAGGGUUUUGCUUCUCUAUCUUUUGUCCUUUUCUUUUUUAAAAAGAUUAUCUUGAUUCUUAGUUAUAUUUCACAACUCCCAUUGAUCUUUGCGUGUUUAUUUGUAAUCUGUAAUCUCAGUUUCGCGGUUCUUCUUUCUUUUGAAAUCGUAAUCAACUAUAGGUUUUUCCUUUUUCAUUUAACCUUGUGAGCCACGGCGUUUAAUGUGACAUUGUUUAGAAAUUUUGCUUUUCGCAAUUUUUUUUUGCUCCCUCUGAUUUUGUUGUUAGCGUUUUCGUCAAUGUUUGGAUGUUCAUGUUAUAUUAUUUUUUAAUUUAUCCAUAUAGAUUUUAUUUGUGUCUGAAUUUUUGUUUGCCCAUUUCAUGCUAAGGUUUUGUUAAUUUUUGUGGUUUGAUUGUUUGGUAUUCGACGUUAUGAAUUUUUUUGUUAUAUGCUUUUACAGAUUUUAAUUUUAAGAAACCUUAGCUCCUAUUUACACAAUGGAGCGCACGACUAUUGAAUUGGAUCAGGGAUGGGAUUAUAUGCAGAAGGGGAUCACAAAGCUGAAGAGGAUUUUGGAAGGAUUGCCAGAACCUCCAUUUAGCUCAGAAGAAUAUAUGAUGCUUUACACGUAUCACUAAUUACUUAUUUUCAGUUUUGUUGAUUCUUUUUGAGCCACGGACUUAUUAUUUAUAAUCAUCUGGUAUAUUUUAUCCUCAUCAUCUUUCCUUAAUUGGAACCACUACAGGACUAUCUUCAACAUGUGUACUCAAAAGCCACCUCAUGAUUAUUCUCAGCAGCUUUAUGAGAAGUGCCGAGAGGCAUUUGAUGAAUAUAUUACAUCGAUGGUAAGGAAUUUAGAGUCUUGUCUGCCUUCACUUGGUUGCUGAGUACUGACUAGUCUGUGUAGAUAGAUAGUGAUUUAUAUAAAACUCAGUUUAUUAUGGAGGCAUUGUUUUACUGCUAUGAUUUCAAGGAUGUUAAUGUAAUUAGUCCUCUCUUGGGGAAUUAUUGCUGAAAUCCUCCCUUUUUUUUUUUUUUUCCUUCUUUGCAUGACAAAGGGAUUUGACCAACAUCUUUUAGAAUGCAUAUUCCAUGGAGUGAAAGCAAUGCUAUAUUUCAUUUACUUUGUUUUAGCUUCUAUAUUCCAAGAGCUUUGGUUGCAUUUGUUUGAUGUUUUCUAUAUUAUAUUGUUUUUUAAAGAUUGUAAUAACUCAUUUGCUUUGUUGAUUUUUUAAGCUCCAUGGUUUUAUUGUUUGAUACUUUUGCAAAUUCUUCUUUUACUAGCUUUCUUCUCAGUAGGAACCCUUGAAAGUUUUUUAUCCAUCCAUCUACUUUGUGUGGUAAAUAUGCUUUUUGCUCAUAUUUCCUCCUUUUUAAAAUAGGUAUUACCAUCUUUAAAAGAGAAGCAUGAACUGAGGGAGCUUGUUGAAAGAUGGGCAAACCAUAAAGUGAUGGUCAGGUGGCUAUCACGCUUCUUCCAUUACCUAGAUCGCUAUUUCAUUGCCCGCAGAUCACUUCCUGCACUUAAUGAAGUUGG
rnacentral:lncRNA from 1 species